rnacentral:lncRNA from 1 species
AGUCCUUCCCUCCUGUGGCUGGUGGGGUUGUUCCCGGUGGAAGAAUAGGACCUACAAUUGGCAAAGGCGGCAAUGGCAGAUUGGGACCUACCACUGGAGGUAUGGGUAGCCCUGAAAUCGGAGGAAGGGGUAGCUUAGGGACGGUCACUGGAGGAACGGGUAGCUUAGGUACAGUUACCGGGGGAACGGGUAGCUUAGGGACUGUCACUGGAGGAACGGGUAGCUUGGGGACGGUCACUGGAGGAACGGGUAGCUUGGGGACGGUCACAGGAGGAACGGGUAGCUUAGGUACAGUCACUGGUGGAACGGGUAGCUUAGGGAUGGUCACAGGAGGAACGGGUAGCUUAGGGACGGUCACCGGAGGGACUGGUAGCUUAGGGACGGUCACCGGAGGAACUGGUAGCUUAGGGACGGUCACCGGAGGAACUGGUAGCUUAGGGGCUUUAGGGGAGUGCUUUCCGCCCUUCCGUGGGUUGCAAGAGCCGCAUGCGAGAGAAUGUUGGGGGAGAUAGAUAAUGCAAAUGAGGAAGAGGCAAAGAGAGAGAGAUGAGAGUUUGGAGGAGUCCAUGUUGAGUAGAGUGGAUGGUGUAACUAUACGAAAGAGUAUAUGAAUAUAUAGAGGGAAAAUGAGAAGAAGAAUUCACGUGAAGAUGGGGGCUACUUCUGCAAUAAGAAGAGACGCCCCAAAAUAAGCAUGGUUGGCAAUUAUCAUAAGAAUACAAGAUUUCCUUGAUGACCCAUCGCUAUAUAUCAUCACAUGUCGACCACACUUUUUUCACUUUUUUUUUUCUAAGUGCCUCUUGUUCUUGGGUUAACUACAACUUUUAACAACGUGUAACUUCAGUUUCAACAGUACAGUACAUUUAACUUGUAGGAAUUGUAAUGAAUCAACUUAGCGAGACUAGGUCAUUAUGAGAUAUCAUCAAUACUAAAUAACAUUUUGAUGAUGUAAACACUCUAGGAAAAGCAGAUAAUAUAGUAUCAUAUGGUUUUCGCUUUAGUGUGUGGCUUCAUAAGCAUCUCCAUGCAUGAGUCGACUGCUAAGGAACAUAUAGAUCUGCACCAUAGUGAAGACGGCUUAGUCUAUUCAAAACACUAAUGUUGUGCCUUUCGAGGACCUCCCGAGACUCGAAUUCGAAUGCACUCUCCAAAGGUAUUAUGUUAGGGAAAAAACCUUAUUAAACCAAAUAUGUUACUGUUUAACCCAUACACGAAAAUUAGAUAUAUAAAUGUUGAACAAAUAGCAUAUAGUUAUAUCCAAUAUAUACGUACAUGAGAGGUAAAGAAGACAGCAAGACUGACAUGUGAAAUUCGGGAUACACUUUUGUUGUUUGGUGAUUUUGUUACGUAGUGUCAUUAAAGAAACGAUCAUGUGUGCGUGGACCAUCUUCUUCUUUUUACCGCUCAUUUCCCUUUUUACCAUAUCUACUACAAAAGAGUCCGAACUGACCAUUUAAUGAACGAGUACCAUUCAAUUCAUAAACUCCCCGUAUCAAUCUAACUGACACUGUAAAAGUUAUAAUGUUAAUAUAUAAAAAUAAUAUGGUUAUUUAGCAUGAAUAAUAACUUUUUAUAAUUGAGAGUAUGUCUAGCUAACAUUGGUGAUUGGUGCUUACAUAAAUCAUAUUUUUCAAACCACUUAACAAGAACUUUACAUAUUCAAUGAUAAACGAAUCACAUUUAUACAAUAUACCAUUCAAAAAUAAUAUUGUAAGAUGAUUUGAAAUUAAACGAUUGUAAUAUAUAAUGUGUUAAAAGUAAUGUAUUAUAGAUAUCUUGUAAUUAUUUAAAGGGUUUUGUGCAAAAAAAAAAACCACUAACUCAUACAUUUUUCCAAUUUACUAUCCAGCUCUAAUAAAUGCACAUUAAUCCUAUGAAUCUAAAAUAAUACGCAUUGUAACCCUUUUUGACCAUUUUUUGCUACCAUCAAUUUUGUAAAAUAUUGAUAUAUAAUAUGUUAAAUCAAAGCUCUCGCGACCAAGAGUUCAACUCUACCUUUAAAAAUUUUAAAAUGUAAUGUAUGUAACCGUAAAAACGCUUGUAAUAUGCAUAUGAAAUUUAUAUUACAUAUUAUGUUAAACUUCAUAAGAUUAAUCUGCAUUUGUUGGUAGUGCAUUUGUUAGAGGUGGAAGGUAAUGUUGCAAAAAUAGAUGAGUUAAAAGAUUUCUUUUUGCACAAAACCCUUUAUUUAAACUACUAACAAUAUAAUAUAUAAAUAAUUUAAAACAUAUAUCUCUAUAAUUCAUGAAGUAAUAAUGGUGUACCCUAUCCUUACCAACGAAUAAUAAAGAAAUGAUAUUAACUCUGAUUCAAAAGCUAUAUAUAAGAUAUUCUUUUUUUUUCCUCGGGAGGGAUACGAAUCCGGUAACAUGAAUCAGUGUCCAAUAAGAGCCAGUGGUCGUAAAUUCCAAAUGACAGAUGGAUGACUCAUUUUAAUUCGUAACUUUUGUCAGCUGCGAUAUAUGCUAAUGAAACCUGAGGUGCUAGAUUUUGAUUUUAAUGGCUUUAGAUUCUUACUCAACACUCAAUGGCCCACUCGUUAAUCUCUUACCUUCUAAAGUGAGUUAUGAUCCACUGCUUCUUUCUUCUUGUAGAUAGAUGGACCUGUUUUUUUUAGGUUGUGAUUUGUGGACAUUAAUCAACAACCCAUGUUUAUACGUGAUAAUGUCUGGAGCUAUAUGUAAAGGCGAUAUGGAGGACAACAUUCCUCUAUUCUAACUUUAAAAGCCAUGUAGUUAGGGCUGGACACCAAUAUUCUUUUUUUUUUUGCUAAAUUGUAAAUAUCAUUUUGAUGAAAAAUCAGGUUUUACAACAGUUGUAUAACCUAAAACAUUUGAACUCUUUGGCAAAAAAGAAUAAAAAAACGAAGAGCCAAUCGAGAGCUGCAUAGAACUCGGUAGUUUCAUAGCAGCCACAACGCUAUUAACUUGCGAAAAAGGAGUCUGUUUCUUCUUGAGGUGAUAACGUUUUUGAUUUUGCGGUUGAUGCACUUGAAUAUAGAAUGCGGAGAGAGGGAAGUAGCGUUGUGCAGGACAUUGUUAGGCUGCUUCAAGAUGUGGAAGACCUUAGACUGAACGACAAUAAUUUUAAGAACUGAUGAAGCCAAUAUUCAUCAUUUUCAAACAAAAAAUAUCUUUUGUUUGACACCAAUAUCCUUGACCAGCUUCAAACAAAGGAUAUACAUCAUUUUUAAGUCGGGUAAGGCAAAUGAGUAUAAGGAUUCUCAUUACACAUCUGGUUGCCAAAAACUUUUAGUCAAAUACUAGUUACAAUCUCAGUUUUUUACCCCAAACUUUUUGCCACUUAAAAAACUAGGGGUGGGCAUUCGGGUAAGCGGGUCGGGUUCGGGUUCGGGUAAAACCCGAUCAGGUAUAAAGAAGUUUAGGAUCUAAUAGGGUAAAUCUAAAAUAUCGGUUCGGUUUCGAUUCGGGUCCAACCGGGUUCGGAUAUAGAUUUGUGGCCUUUUUUUAUCCAGAUUUUUCGGGUAAAAUUUUGGAUUUCGGAUAAAAUUUAGAUUUUUGAAUAAAAUAUUUGGGUAUUUUCGGGUUCGAGUUUGUUUUUUCGGGUAGAGAAAUUUAGGAUCCAGUAAAGUACAUCUUCGGAUUUGGAUUAAGUUUCAGCUCUAAUUUUUCGAGUUAGUUUCGGUUCGGAUAAUCGGUUCUGGUUUUUUGGCCCGGCUCUAUAGAAAACCAUCAAUAAAUAUUUUAAUCCUAUUUCUGCCUCAUUACUCGAGAAAAUAUUCGACCCGUUUUAUUACUUGAUAAAUUUACAACUAUAUAUUUAUGUAAUCUAUUUCAUAUUAGUAAAAUAUAUUAAAUUUGUUAUUAAAACCAAAUAUCUUUUGAGAUUAGGGCAAUCAAAAGUUAAGGUCAAGCAAAUGUCUCCUUUCUAAAUGUUUUUGUGGGUAACGGUAAAGGACAAAUAUACAGCCCAUGCCCAGACCUACAAGUAGCGACUCCAUUACUACACAGUAAGAUUUUUAUUAAUAAAAAUGUGCAUGGUUUCAUUUAAAAGUCAUUGCUAACACUUCACUUUACAGUAAUAUUCAAUUUCAUACCUUUAAACGUUAAUCAGAAUCGCCAAUUGGAAGCCAGUCACUGGAAUCACCUUCCGAAUCCUUGCUAUGUCCAACUUGGCUCUUGCUGAGCUGAACCCAGCUUGACCCGCUUGCGUUUGAUGCUGGUCUUUUCAGUGUACUCCUGUUGGGACUUGGCUUCUCCGAGAGAUCAUCGACAUCUAAAUCACUAAAGGAGAUUACCUCUUCAUCUCUGAAACUCCUCCGUUGUUCUUCAGAUGACUCAUCACUUAUCUCCCUUUGCUCAAUUUUUAGAGUCUCUAUCUUGUCAAUGACUCCCUCAACGGUUUCUGUUUCCCUACUGCUACCUUCUUCAGGAGUUUCGUGACCAGUAGUGCUCUUGCUUGACCCUGUCUCUUUCUUUUGCAGCUUUAGUAAAAGUUGAUCCCUUGUUUCAAAUACCUGUGCCGCACAAUAUAGUUAUUAAAGUUUCAGAAAUAGGUACAAUAGUAACUUGGGAAAAAAUGCAGAGCAUAAAAGAUAUAAAACAAUCCAAUUUUAAAAGCAUCAGGCAAAAAUACAUUUUUUCCUGAGGCUAUACUUGUUCUUAUUGCAAUCGGUUGAAGGGGUCAUUAUAGCAUAAACGUUUACGAUUUUAAUAAUAUUGGAUCAAUACUGACAUUUCAGAAGAAUGUAUUUCCAGUAUACAGUCUUACCUUGCAUGUUGCUAAGAGUUCAAAAUCAUGCCCAUUCAGUCUCGGCAUCAGCAAAAUAAAAUAAAUCAGCCAGAAGUGUUCAUCAUCCAUGUAACUACUAACUUGAUUCUUCACAGCUACAAGGCCAGGAACCAAAUCUUCAAUGGCUGAUGCAUGUGCCCUUUGAGCCUCAGACAGUUCAAAUUCUGCAAUGUGGACAUGAAAAGUUGGAGAAAAACUUCAGCAUAAUUCAGUAGGUAAAAUUGAUGUAAACCACCAAUGCUUUUUAUCAGGAAGUGUUUCGACAACAUUUUCAAGCAAACCAAGCCUAUAUACAAAAGGUUGUACAGGAUGACGAUAUGCUUCGCAAUAAAAUAAAUAAAAAGAUUUAAGUGGCAUAUGGAUUGAACUAUAUAUAUAUAUAUAUAUAUAUAUAUAUAUCCCAAGAAGAGACUGCAGACCCCGUCAAGUUUAUUCGUAAUUCCUGGAGAUCUAUCUAAAGAACAGGGACUUCAAAAAAAAAAAUUAACUGCAGAAACAAUCAAUCUUGUCCAAACAGGUCUAGAAUAAAACACAUCAAGAGUUAAAGACUGAAGCAUAAUCAUCUUUGGCGACUGAAAACAAGUCAACUAUAUUUCCAAGAACAAUCAUGUUUAUUCCUGCAUGGCUGCAAGUUCGUCGACAAUAUCUUCAAGGUAUGAAAAAUGUGAUCUACAGAGAGUAAUGGGACCCCGAGAUCCUAAAGACCUGAGCUUGAAGAAAUAUAUCCCAAGAGGAGAUGGCAGGACCGGUCUAACCUAAUCUAAAAUACUAGGAAAUCUCUCUAAAGAACACCAGAGGCUACAAGCAAUCAACUGUACAAACAAAAAAAAUAUUUUCCUAAUAAAUCACAGUAAGAAAAUCAUAACUAAACAUAGAUAGUUAGAAACCACCAAUGCGGUGCUUCGACUAUACUUUCAAACUAACAAAGCCUAUAUACUGGGAACAAAAAUAUGCUUGAAGAAAUAUGUCCAAAUAAGCUUAAUCUGUAACCCUAGUGAUCCCACUAGAAAGCCAAUCAACUGUAGAAGCAAUCAAUCUUUUCCAAAUAAAACCUAUUUUAGUAACAAUUAUGUUUGCCUACUGGGAAAAAAAAAAGUCAAUGCAGAGCUUAAGACUAUUGAGAAUCAAGCUUUAUGAUUCCUCUAUUGACUAUACAGGAGCAUUACCAGUAUCGAGUGACAAUGGAAAAUCUGUCCAACAACCAGGUUUCGUCGAGAUUUUAACAGCGAAAUCGACUACUUCUUCAGAGAUUCCAGGAACUUGAUCGUUCAACGGAGAUCUUCUACUACUUUCUCUAUCUCUUAGAUUACUAGGAAAUUGGAGUAAAUUAGAUGCGAAAUUGGAGAAAUUUCCACGAAUCUCGGCUAGAUCGUUGCGGAUCCCGAGAAGACCUAGCUGAGUUGGUGAAUUAUCAGAGGAGAGUCGGCGUUCGUUUACAGGUGGAGAAGGAGGCGGUGCCAGGAAAGCUGCGACGCCACGGAGUAAGGAAGAUAAAUCUUCUUUGACACCGCCAUGAGUUGUGGAAGGAUCGGGAUCGGGAUCGUGAUCGUCAUCGCCGCGAGAUUUGAAGAGCCAAGACAUGGUUUUUGAGUGAGAGAGGUUGGAUUUGGGGUUUUCAGUUUUUUUUGCACGGGGUUACGAAUAGCAAGAGAGAAGAAACGGUACGUUUUAAUACCUUUCCAAAACGCACCGUUUGUUGUUUGUUCGUUUUGAUACCUUCCCAAACGUGAAAUAAACGAACAAUAAUUAUACAAAAUAAACGGAAACAAAACCUACUUUUUAAAACGGGAAAAUAUCGUUUUAUACGUGAUGUUUUUAAGAAUGGUCAUUUUAUAUGUAAACUUUUAGAUCGAUCAAAUAAAAUAUGAUAAAAAUGUUGAUCCGCUAUUUAAACAAAACAUAAAGUUUGCCUGGCCAAAAUUUCCGAAAUGUUAACUUGUAUUAACGGAUCUGAUAACCCUCGUUAGCAGACGUUAGUCGUCUUCCGUUAAUACCAAACGAUUUUUUGUGAUGAGUACAAACCUUAAAAUUCCCAAAUCGAUUUUUCAUUCCCUAAUUCUUCAUAAUCCCCAAAAUUUGAACUAUUCUCGAUAUAUUUUUUUUGAGCUCAAAAUCUCCAUUUUGUGUAGAUAUGAGUUUAAAAAAUUUGAGUGUUCAAGAAGGAGGAAGUGGGAACCUUGGGUUUCCUUCAAAGUGUCAUUGGGGGAGAGAUUUCAUCAUCUAUAUAUCAAGCUCGACGAAGAACCCAAGAAGAUCCUUCUUCUGUUGUCCAACAUAUCAAGAUGUAAGUAGAUUUGAAUUUGUUUUUUUUGGUGUUUGAUCGGUAAAAAGUUGUCGUUGUAAAUGCAGGACCAUUUGUUUAAGUGAGUCGAAGAUUGUGUGUAUGAAGAGGUUGUAGAUGCAAUACUGAUAAUCUCUAUGAUUGAUAGCUAGAUAAACAAUGUCAAAUUUCAGGUUGUAGUCGAGAUUGCAGAAUUAAAGGUUUUGAUCCAAGAAUUGAAGGAAGAUGAAAUGUGGAGCAAAAUGGAAUUGAAGAUAUGGAAAUCGAUGACCAAAUUGUGCUUGGUGUGCCUUUGUAUAACAGUCAUUGCAAUUAUGAUCAUAAUGUUCUAUAAGACCAAAAACCAUAAGCUUGUUCUUGGUUACUAGUGUUUUGUGUUUGUAAUAAAAUGUUUUUAUGGUACUGAAAUGUUUGUUUGGCAAUGAUAAUCAGUCCUAGUGUUUUGUCUUAGUGUUGUGAUUGUAAUGAAAUGCUACUAGAUGCUUGUUUAACAAUGAGAAUCACCAAAAUGAAACUCAUUCAUACAUUAUAAAACUUGUGUCACAAAGACAAGUCGAAACCACAAAAUGAAAUCGAUACUAAGCUUAUGUCAUAAAGACAAAUCCAUUAUGUCAACCACCAAAAAUAAACUUAUGAGAAAGCUUAAGUUCAAACAACAACAAAAAGAAACUUGUGACUAAUCUUGUCUUGAACACUCAAACCAUGAUGCAAAUCCACCAAGUCCUUGUGGUUGAGCAUGUGGCUCAGUUUGUGCUUGUGCUUGUGGUUCUGUUUGGGAUUGUACUUGUGAUGCUCCACCUGUCUCCCUUGGUCUUUCUGAUGUUCCGCCUGUUGCCCUUGGUCCUUGUGAUCGAAUAUGAGAUUGUGAUCCUUGAUGAGGUUGUGAUCCGUGUAUUUGCUCUUGCGAUUCGAGCACUUGAGAUCGUGAUCCUUAAUGAGAUUGUGAACUUUGAUGAGGUUGUGAUCUUAGCACUUGUGAUUCCUCCUAAGUUAAAUAUGACAGUCUGAACAGUUGCAUGAUUAAGUGAGUUGUAAAACAUAUAAAAAAAAACAAGAAUACAAACCUGAUUUAUUCGUGGAUGACCUCUUGGUCUCUUUGGUGGAAUCAGAAUAGUGGCAUUUUUGCAGCUUUGCUUGUUUGCCCUUGUUGAAGGCAGUUAGAGCAUGUCAUGAUUCUCUUUUGCAGUGGCAUCUUGUUCUUAUUUGAAGAAGAAGAAGUCUCAUUUCUUCCUUUUCUCCUAACAUAAUUACUCGGUCUUCCAACAUUUCCUUUUGUCCAUGGUGGUGGCAAAACAGGGAGCCUAUUGGUUUUAGGCCACAAUGGCAUACCUUGGACAAGGCUAAUACCAUCUUUAUAAGUUUUUCGCCAGAUUACCUUUGUGUAAAACUUGCUCACAUAGUCUGCAACUGUUUCUCUUCUUCCUAUUAUCACAGGUGUCGCAUAAAUACAUGGGAUCCCCACCAUCUACCACUUCCUGCGACCACAAGUUCUCUUCUCCGUAUCAACAUAGUAGCUAACACCAUUCACAUCAAUUUGAUACAAAUUGUUUCUGGACAUAUAUCUCUCGCAAUUUCUAACCCCAACUAUCAUUUUCUCAAUCUCAAGAUGGGCUCUCUUUGUGAACCUUGUCUUCAAUUUGUCAGCAAUGAUAUACGUCUUCGUAGUUAUGACCAUGCAUUACCUCUGGAUGUACUCUAGCUAAUCCAACAAAGGCUUUCUCCUAGCCUGUUUAAUAGUCUUAUUAAAAGACUCACACUGAUUAUUGAGGCUGUCAUUGCAACGUGUCCAAUUCUAAAGAAGGCUCUCGACCAUGUCAUUGGACUAGUAAGUUGCGAGUGGCAUGCGCAUGAGGAUUGUAUCUCUUUAGCUCUUCCAUAUUAUUCAUGAACACUUCUUCAGUGUAGCUUCAAAUUGUUUUUCAAAGAGACAUUGUAGUUCUAUCUCAUGGUUGUCUCUCUUCCAAUUGUCCAUUAUAUGCCUUGAAUAUUGUCGAUGCUCAACUUCUGGAAGUAUGGUAUUGAUAGCUUUGACUAGACCCUGUAAAAUAACACAAAAACAUAAGCGUAAACCCUUCAUAAAAGACAUUAAACUGAAGCAAAAGAUGAUAAAAUUAACUGAUUAUUUAUCUGAAAUGAUAACUAGAUGUUGCAUUUCACAGUCCCAAACUAGUAGAGAGCUGUCUCAAAAACCAGUCCCAAUUAUCAUUGUUUUCUAUCUCAACAACUGCCCAAGCUAUAGGAACAAUCCUCUUAUCUCCAUCUCUUCCAACUACAGCUAAAAGGUGACCUUUUACAUCCCAUUUUAGAAAACCCAUCUAUUCCUAUCACAGGUCUACAAGUUCGCUUCCAAGAAUCCUUUUGAGAUUUAAAGCAGAUAUAGCACCAGAGAAAAGAAUCCUUUUGUGAUAUAAAGCAGCUAUAGCAUCAGAGAAACCUUUGCUUGCUUCCAAUAAAAAGCCCUACUGUUGUCUCUAUCUCAAACUCUGUCUCUGGGUUCUACUUUAAAACCUCCGCUUGAUAAUCUCAUAUUCUUGAAAAGUGAUCAUUAUGAGUAGCAUGUCAUGCUUUCAACACUUUGGUCUUGGCCUUUGCACAUUGGUCUGGAGUCACAUCCAAAUUGAAUUCUCUCUGAAUCUCAACAACCAUCUCGUUCUUUGAAAUAUUUGGAUUCACUCUCAGCCUUUCAUCAAACAAAAGUGCAAUGGAAGACCGCUUCAACAUCUUUGAAUAUCCUGACCUAACACAAGUAUGCAUAUAAAAUCUUACUUGCAUCUUAUGUUUUGUCUUCUCAUACGAACAAUAUACUUUCCAACCACAUUUAACACCAUCAACACCAAUUUAUGACCACUUCGCAGCAACAACCAUAGAUUCAGACCCAUAAAGAGAAAUGGUAUACCAUGUCUUUAAAGAGUACAUCAAAAGAACACGCUUGAAGUCGUGUUUAUAUCCUCUUCACCGCGUAAACCACCAUUAUAAUCGUUAUCUCCACCACCAACCACAUCAUCAACGACAUUGCAGUCUUCAUCACCAUACACGGCGCAGUCUUCUUCAUUUUUCAGGGUCAGGCUCAAAUGUAGGUUCUUCAUCCUCCUCUUUUUAAUGUCUGACUCUUCUUCGUUUUUGUUUUCAAAGCCGCUUUGAAACUCGAGCUUUAACUACGAUAGAAGACUCUACUACGCCUACAGCCGGCAGAGCUAGAACUCCGUUAUCAAACUCUAAAACUGCUUCCGCUGGUGGAGCUCGAACAACAUCUUUGGUGUCAUCUUCGCCUCGUGGUGGAGCUUCAUCAUUGUCUAAUUUGCCUUCCAUUGAUACAAUCUAGGACUCCAAGGAUACAAAUUCAAGAUGAAAUCAAAUCAAAAUCGCGAUUUCGCCAAAGUAAGAAUUAGGGAUUUGGUUUUUGGAAAUUAGGGAUUUUGAAAUCAAAAUGGGAAUUUCUGUUUCAGUUUAUGAAACGACAUUGUUUUAGGCAUUAACAGAAAAAAUUAACGUCUGCUUACAGGGGUUAUCGGAUCUGUUAAUGCAAGUUAACGUCUCGGGGAUUUUGGUCAGGUCAACUUUAUGUUUUGUGUUAAAUGGCGGGUCAACGUCUUUAUCAUGUUUUAUUUGGCCGACCUAAAAGUUCACGUAUAAAAUGGCCACUUUUGAAAGUUCACGUAUAAAACGACAUUUUUCCCUUUUCAAAAACCUAAUUUAUUUCGCAUAAUUAUUGUUCGUUUUGAAAAGUAGGUUUUGAUUUAAUAUUAAAUUUAUUCGGGGAAAAAGAAUUAUACAUUUACAAGUAGGAAAAAUGGGUAAAAAAAACCUCACCUUUCCCAAAUACAUUUAAAAAAACCUCAACUUUUUGUAGGUUUUUAAACCCUCACCUUUUCAAAAAUGGUAAAAUAACAAUUAGCAUUAUUAAACCAAAUAAAUACAAAUUAAAUACUAAAUAAACUAUUAUAUUAAGACAUAAAAAACAACAUAAUUUAUAAUCUAUCUUUUCCAAAUUUGAGUUUAGGAUUUUUUUUCUUCUAGAAUUUAGUUGUUUUUUGUGAUAUAAAAAAUAAGUUUCAUUGCCAUUAGAAAUUGGUAUGUAAACUAAAACAAUUUAUAACAUAGCACAUUUUAUUUUAUUUGUGUUCAACUAUGUUCUAACCUUUGAAGUUUUGGAUUUAAAAUGGAUAAAAUUUAUUAACACAAAUUUGAUCUAAACUUGAGUGACCUAAUAUUUGUUCUAAACUUGUGUGAUCAAAACUUUAUUCUAAACUUAAGUGUCCAAACCAAAUAAAAUUUUAUUAAAUAUAUUUUAUAUUUAGUUAUUACAAAAUUAGUUUAGUUUUACGUUGAUGAAUUUCUUGAACUCAACCAAAUUAAUCUUGUUUCAGUUCACUGCAUAUGUAGAAGAAUAUAUAUCUAUAUAUAUAUACAUAUAUCAUACCUAAAAUAAAAUAAUUAUUUUUAUCCAAAAUUUAAUUAAACUUACACUCGAAACAAAAUAAAUAAACUUUGAAUAGACUUUGGAUAUGUUAUCUUCAGUAUGAAACCAAUUGUCUGAACCAAAUUUAAAUUGUUUUCACAUAAAACAUUUUACUAGAAGAAAAUAUUUAAGAGCUAUGUCUUUGGUUAGAUUAGAAUCGACAUAUUUCGUUUUCAAGAUUGUUUAGUGGUAGUUUGUUGUUUUGCGUCAAGUUUUUUUUAAUGUUUUCUUUUCCUAUUUUUGUCGGGUUCAUCUCUUGCUUUUGGACCGGUCAAUCUAUAACUUUUCACCUUUAUAAUAAUAGGUAAAGCGGUUGUGUGACUCUUUCAUUUUCCUCUACUCAAGUUUAAGACUAAAUCUGGUCAAAUUUUUAUUAGACUAGUUAUGAUGGUUUGUUAUAAACCAUUUCACAACUGUUGAAAAAAUUAUUUCCACUACAAUGGUUUAUUGUAAUCGAAAAGUAAGUGAGAUGGCAAAUUUAUCAACACUCAUGAGAGUAGAAGAAAGAAGAUAAGUGUGACAAGUGUUAUAUUUUGAUUGGUUGCUUUUUUUUUUUGGACAAAAGCUUGUUUUUAUUCAAUUAAGAGAGAAACAAGUACAAAGGAACAAGGAUUCUAAGAUCCCAAAGUUUAAAGGACAACAAAGGUAGGCAUUCCCAACACCAUAAGAAGAAAAGCUAACACACAAAUAAGGUACAUCAACAAUGGUUCCAUGAGAGCUAUAAUCCAAACACUUGAAGGGAAUUUGUUACUUUUAAGAUCAAGGAUUGUUGACAAAUCUUCCACGAACAAAGUAGUGGAUGAGAGUAUGGUUACUGUCAAAAGACUUAGUAACGUUAACAAGGGCGCCAAAGACAUGAAUCUCGUCGGGACGAGAAGUACUACACCAAGUAGUGCUUUUGCAAAGGUUCGAACAAGGUUUUGGUAAAGGAAGGAGGAUCGUCGAGGCUUAGAAAGAUUGAUGCGAGACCGUAACAGAACAGGUGGGUCCUCUCUCCCAAGAAGACCAAGGAGAUUAAGGAAUUCCACACAAAGCUUGUAGUCGGUUUGCCACAUGAAGAAAAGGCCAGACAUGAGGAAAUUGAGUAGAUAUCACUUUGAGGCACUAGUCAAUAGGGAGGGAUCUCUCACAAGAGAAUUGAGAAGUUCAUGUUGAAGCUUGAUCCAAACCCGGGGAGUAAUGGUGAAUGGGAGGUUCUUGAAGUUGGUCGAUAUAGUUGUCAGUAUGAAAUACUUUGAUAGAGAGUUUUGGUGACUAGCGUCACAUCUCCGACAGAUUGGACUAAGAAACACUAGACCAUGAAUCUUCAAAACGGAAUCAUAAAACAUUGCCCUAGCUAAACCUAGCACCAAGGUUCUCAGAUAAUAUUUGUAGGAGCAUAUCAACGAGGGUGAUUCGUCAUUCAAGUGGUGUCCCUAACCCCUCAAAAUAAAGAAACGAUGUCUACAUUGGGAUAGACUCGGCAAAUUGCAGAUGGAGGAAUACCUGGAUUUUUGUGAUAAUAGGUUUGGGUCGCAAUUUAUGGGCUUGGGCCGCGAGGGAAAUGGGCCAACAUUGGAGACAGGGCCCAUCAAAGAAAACCCUCGAUUCCAGAUUGUUGGGCAAGGAGCGUUGGGAGUGCGGCGGCUACGGUAGAGAGGUACGAAUUGCACAAUUGAAGCAGACGUCUCUGAUGUAAAUAGAGUUAGGGUGAACAAGCUGCAUGACGGGUCCGGCGCUGAGGCUAUAACAACGGCUAAUGGUUUGGCAAAAGAACGUCGGAGAAGCCUUAGGGAGCCGAAAGGUCCCGCAGAUCUAGUAACGAUGAGGAGGCGGAGACAAGGCUCAGGUUGGAAGGAUUGGUCGCCUAUGAAAUUGAAAGCUUCACAAACUGUUUUCUUUGAUUCGCAAGGUUUGGACAGAGAGUGUAGCUUGCUCGGAGGCCACAUUUUGCCUAUGUCGGAGAAUACUGCUUCAAAGAAGAUUCAACAGCAAAGAAGAACUCGAUAGAUUUGGAUUAAAAGGUUUGCAACAGAAGAAAACUAAAUUACAACGAAGAAGUAGAUGAAAGAUUGAGGAAAUAGCUCGAGAGAUGAGAGGGAGGUUCCGAUGCCGGCGAGCAUUUGCUCCACCGACGUCGGAAAGAUGAAGGGAGAUAGUUUCCUCGAUAUUAGUGUCUAUUAGCUCCACCGACGUUGAAAAGAUGAAGGGAGAUAGUUUCCUCGAUAUUAGUGUCUGGGAGAGAAACUCUUUAAAAUCUUAGUCUCGCAAAAAAUUUGAUUGGUUGCUUUGAUUUCUAUAUUUUUUUUCUUAAUUACAUAACUUUAAUUAUUUCAUAAUAUUUAUAAAUAAACAUAUCAAAAUUUACAAUUUUUCAUUCUCUAUAAAUAAACACUAUCUUCAUUUGAUUUGGACAAAACAAAAAUAAUCUUUCUUUAGAAAAAAAAAAGUUUAGUCUCCAAUAAACUUUUGUUUUAGCUUUAAAUAUACUUUUAUCUAAAUGGAUCCAAACAAUAACCUUUCAACACCCAAAACUUUUCUAAUUACUUUUAAACUAUCCAAAUCCCAACAAUUAUUAGUUGCAGGUGUGUCAGAAGGACAUUGAACGAGCAUUUGGAGUGUUGCAGGCUCUAUUUAAAAUUAUUCGCGAACCAGCUCGACUGUGGGACAUAGCCGAUUUGACUAUCAUCAUGAGGUCGUGUAUCAUAUUGCAUAAUAUGAUUGUUGAUGAUGAACGACAGACGUAUACUCAACAUUGGACUGAUUAUGAUCAAUCUAAGGCAAGUGGGCCGAGUACAUAACAACCAUUCUCGACCAAAGUGCUACUUGUAUUUGCAAAUCAUCUGCGUGGUAGAUCCAAGUUGCGUGAUUCAAAUGUACACCGCAAAUUGCAAGCAAAUCUAGUCAAACAUAUAUGGGCACAAUUUGGAAUUUUCCAUGGUGAAUGAGAUUUUUAAGUUUGUGAGUUGAGAUUAAUAUACUAAUUAAGUUACAAAUGUUUCCUUACUUGUUGUGUGCGUAUUGUAUUGCAUUUUAAAUCUAUGUUCAUUGUAUGUGUUUUAGUAAUGAUUAUUUUUAUUUCUAGUUUUUAUUAUUUAUAAAGUUUUUUUAAAAAAUAUAUACAAAUAUUAAAACAAAAACUAUUUUAUAAAAUUUAUUUAAUAUUUAAUUAUUUAAAUUUAAUUUAAUAUUAACGGUGAUUAAUAAUAUUUAAUCACAAAAAACAUAAACAUAAAUAAAAUGAAAAAUAUAAAAUAAAAAUUGUGGGAUAAGGUGUUGUAAUUUUAUCAAACAAAACUAUUGUAGAGGGAAAAAAUUAUGUAGGUGUGGAAUAACGAUGUGGAAGAGAGAGAAAACGAUGUGAAGUGUUAAAAGGGAAAAAAAGGGUGUUGUAAAUGGGUAACCAUUGUAGAUAGUCUUAGGAAGUGAAUGGUGACUUUAAGAUUUGCAGAUUUCGAAAGAAAAAGAAAAAAAUGCACUAAUGUCACCAAUCAGACAUAUGUGUGUAAUUUGUUUUUUUUUACAGAUAAUUUGGCACACACAUUUCAAAGCAUGUUAAUACACUAGGGAUAAAAGAAACACACUCUACUAUCGUCCAAGGGAUAUUUGGCAGCGCUUAACUAAAAACUUGCAUUACACAGUAAGUAAUAAAUCAAUUAUUUAAUUAAUAAUAAAAUGUACCUAUAAAUCAGAUCAUGUACUCUAAAACUAUUCACACAUUACAACCAAAAACAACAUCCUCUCAUAUUUCGCUCCAAUCCAAAAGAAAAAAAAAACAAUCUCCCACCCUUUCGUCAUAUAUUACAACAUUUAAAUGUAAAUUACUUUUACUAUACUAGUAUAAUAAUUACUUAUAACAAAAUAUUUCUAUGUAAUUAAGGUCUCUUUAUAAAUAAAUAGGACUGAAAUUAAGUAUAUAAAAUUGUUCAAAAUUUAGUAAAUCAUAAAAUGUUAUAUUUAUGUACAUAUUUAUAUGACUAUGUUUUAUUUUUAUAUUCAUAACAUCAGUAUUAAAUUUUAAUCAAAUCAUAGAAAUUUUUAAAUAUGUAUAAUAAAUGGUUGUGAUAGUAUUUACUAAUCAAGAUGUAUAUAUAUUUAUUAAAAAGAGAAAGGAAAAUUUUGAAGAUAUACAAAAUUACUAUUUUUUUAAAUUAUAGUUUAGUAUAUUUAUAUUAGAUGGUAAUAUGAUAUUAUGAAUUUUUUCAAAACUUAAUUAAAUCAAUUAAUUUAAUCAUAUCAAAAGUUACUUAAAUCAAUUCAUUUCCAUCAUUAUUAAAUUUUAAACAAAUCAUAGAAAAUUAAAAUAUGAAAAGAAAUGGUUGUGAUAGUACAAUAAAGUGAUUCCGAGUUCCCUUUGCCUCCGUCGGAGAAGUAUUAUCUAGUUGAUUAUGACUACCCAAACAAAUAAGGAUUUCUAGUUCCUUAUAGAUCGUCAGGAAAUCGAGUUGUGAGAUAUCAUAUGUCUCAAUUUUAUUUUGGUCCUCCUCCUAGAAACAAACAUGAACUAUUUAAUAUGUCAUGCAUCUUUACGUUCUGUUAUCGAGAGAACUUUUAGAGUUUCGGAAAAGAAAUGGAGGAAUCUUUUUCAUUUUCCUAGAUAUAAUAUUCAUAUUCAAAAAAGAGUGGUAAUGGUUAUAGUGUGAUUACAUAAUUUUAUCAGAAUUUCAAACUUCUCAGAUGUAGAUUUUCUUGAUGUAAUGACAGAGACAAAUAUAAACUACAGAGAUUAUGAUCAUCAUUUAGAUGACAUAGAAGCAACAGAGAUAACAAAUGGAGAACAUAUGAUGCCAAUAAAAGACAAUAUUGCAAAUAUGUUAUGGCAAAAUCAAAAUAAUAUAAAAUAUUUUUUAAUGUUUUUUAUGAUGAAAUUAGUUAAGGCAUGUAACAAUAUGUAUGUUACAAAAUUAAAUUUAUAUUUUGAUCAAUUUUUGUAUUAGUGGUUUAUAAAUAUCUGUUAUUGUUUAUUUAUUAACACAAAAAAUUAAUUAAUUAUUAAUAUAUAUAUAUAUAUAUAUAUAAUUUAUAAUUCGCACCGCAUGUAGUUUUUUCACCAAUCAAACAUUAUUUUGUACCGCUUAUUUUGAAUAAACCGUACUUAUCCCGCAAAUAUAUUUCUCCUACACGAACCGCAGUUUAACCGUACUACACUUCAAUAACGCUUUCCCCGCACUAUAAAAACCACGGUUACCAUUCGGACCCUUAGAGCUUGUUUAAAAAAUUGCUAGGCGUUAACCGGGCAUUCGGGGACUUAUCGAUAUUAGUUUUUAACAUUUUAAUAUUGAUAUAUACAUAUAAAUUAAAUAUCGGAAUAUAUGACAAUGGAAUUAAUUUGGUUGAGUGUCAUCUUUUUUUAUUUGGAAAUUGCACAAUCUAUACUCUGAGGAGUCGUUAUUUAGGUUCCCAAAAAAGCAACUGUUUGGCUGGUACUGUGGAUGUGGAAAUUGCGCAUGUAUGAAAAUAUAUUGUGUGAGACGGCUUCAUUAAAAUCUUAUUAGAUUAUUAUUGUUCUUCGCAUGUGGUUUUUGUUUUCUAUAUGUUUUUUAUUUAUUGAUUUAUGGGGAAACCAAUCAUCAUCAUCAUUUCCCUUCCAAUACGGAGAGCUUGGCAAUGCGAAAGAUUUGGAUGGCAAAUGUUUGGUAUAAAUUUUUCGACCCGUUAAUAUUAUAAUCUUGAUAUUAUUUUUGUUAACGUCAUUAAUCUUUUGCAGACGUAUGUGGAGCCUAUCAUUUUCCCUGACGUGGAGAUGAACCCGAAAGAAGAUUUAACCUGGUCUGACGAUGAGGAAGAUGUGAUGGGUUGAUAAUAUCGUCAUGUUAGUUGGUAAAGGGAUUACUUUUCAGCUCCCUCCAUUCUGAUUUGCCAACUCCUACAAAUGCUAAGGUUAGUUAACUGAUAUUUAUUUUAUAAUCGUUGUGUUUAGUAGUUUAGCAACUAAGUAUUAUAUGUGAGUAGCUAUAUUUUUUCUUUAUUUUUGUAGCUUUUUUGCCUCUGUUUCAGAGUUUUCAAUUAUCUCCAAGAUGUUGCAGGUAAACAAAUCUGUUGAGGUCCUUGAUCAUCGAGAUGAAGAACCGGUUUAUUUAUUUACACUCCAUUUUUGUUUAACUUUACUGUACAUUUUUGUUAACCCCCUCCAUAUUUUAUUAGCCGGUAAGAUUGUUAUCAUUCAUUUUCUUUUUAAUUAUUUUAUUCUGUCUUGCAGACCAAAAUCAAUCCUUCAAAAUUAACCACUACAGUCGAGGAAGAAAAGGAUUCUAAGGAGGUUAGAUAAUUCUUCCUUGUUUUUAACUUUCAUUUGGUUAAAUCCUUAACCGGUGAUAUAUUGCAUGUUUCAAUUUUAGGAUUUUACCACUCCACCCCUGUCAACCCAGUCUCGCUCUAACGUGAAGGUUAUCUUCUAACUAUGAUGUUAUCGCUUAUUGUUUAUAUUCAUCUUCCACGUUUGUAGGAUGUGGUGUGCCCUGCAAGUGUGUAUGCGGAUUAGCUGUUAAAAAAAAUAUUUCCAAGACGCAAGAAAAUUCGGGCUGCCCCUUCUUCCGCUGUGUAAGCAAAAGAGACGUGAGUUAUUUCCUCUCUAAAAACGAUGUUAUUAGCUUUUCUGGUAGCUACACGUUUUGCUAGUUAACCUAUCAUUCUUUUUGUAGGGACAUUUGUUUAAGUGGGUUGAGGAUGUUGUAUAUGAAGAAGUGGAAGAUGCAUUGGUUAGACUUGUAUCGAUUUAAAAUGAGGUAAAUGAUUAAAAGCGCAGGUCAUCCAGUUUUGUGUUGCUAUAAAAGAGUUGAAGGCAGAUUCAGUGUCCGACCAGUUGGUGAUGCUUAUGUUGAAAGUGGGCUUGCUUUUCAGAUUUGUCUUCUCUCUUUUUGUAGCUUUUGUUAUCGCAACACUUCUUAAAAUAGUCGAUAUUAAGUUCAUUAGUAGUUUUUAAUGUCUAUCUUUGUAAUGUUUCAUAGUUUCUAUAAUUCCCUAUGUUUAAGAUAUUAUAUUUGUUAGUCGUUAACCAUGUAAUAUAUACCUUGUAUCAAUCUUCUGUCUAUAUAAUAUUUUAUAACUUCUCAUUUAUUUCUUUAUUUUUGUACCAUUUGCACAUUCUUUAGGCGAUAUUUAUAACCAUUUUAAAACUUAUCUUUUAUUUUAAUUUUUUGGUAGCAUUUUCACAUUUAUUAAGCGAUAAUCUAAUUCUUAGCCAUCCAGCUGUGGUCCUAUCUUCUUAUUUUAGGACGCUAGUUAUCUUUUUUCUUAGUAUUGCAAAUUUUAAGAAGAGGGUCUAUAUCUUGGUACAUAUUUUGUUACAGAAUAUCAUUCAACAUAAACAUAUAUUUAACAUUCAGAAGGAAGGUUUGUUGGGAUCGUCCCUGAUUGCAGAUAAUACACAUUUUUUGGAUCAGUAAUUGUACGUAUAUACAUUGAAAAUUUUCUGAUCUCCGAAUUCUUGUUAUUUAUAAAACAUGACUUCUCGCGAGUCUUCUAAGCACGGAACCAUCCGUUCAAACCCUCCCAUAGUCCAAAAAAACAGUCCUCUCCUUCCAUCUUCAUCCGCAAAAAAAAAAUUUUCCUCGUCGCUUACUUGCCUCCAUGUACCACAUUAAUUUUUUGAUUAGCAGUCAUUUUUCUUUUUAAUCAGAUAACACCUACUUUAUCGACACUAGUUUCUUCAUACACCAUGGUAAAAGUUUUGUUAUCGGCUGCUUUUUCAAAAAAUGAUAAGGAGCUAUAUAUAUAGAUAGCAAACCAAAGAAAGUUGCCCUAACUACACACCUGAGACUUAAAUGCUCUAUGUUUCUAUCUUCUUUCAAUAUUUAUCGUUUGCAGUGGUUUAUAUGUUAGUUGUUUCAGUUCUUGUUGUUGCAGUAAUGUCGAUAUGGAGAUAAUAAAUAGGCAAACAUCUAUCUUCCAUAUCUGCACAAUCGAUUAUGUAUCAUAUGUAAUCAUUACUUUUUACAUUUUUUUAUUAGUUUGACCAGGGGGCGCAAUAUCUUCGAAGAUUACAGAGCAUUUAAUGCUCGUGAUCUUGCGGAAGGAGACUAGUGAUCCUCUGCUUGUAUAGGAACAAUUAUGUCAUAUUUAAUUUGCAAGAAAAUUUUCACCUAAAUAACGAAAUGAUAUGUAUAGAUCCUUAAUUAUUUUCUCCUGUAGGUAUAUAUAUUUCAUUCACUCUUUUUAGUUUAAUGAAAUAGUAAAUGACAAUAUUAUCCUCAUCUUAUUCUUUAGAUCUUAGCGACUGCAACCCUAAUUUUUGUCGUAUCGUUUUUCACAAUUCUUAUCAUUUUUUCUUACCCUUUAAUGAUUUAUACCCAAAUAUAAUAGAUCUACAACCUAAAGACCGAUUUAAAACUUGUAUUUCUUUUUAAAAAAUGAGUUUUUCUAAGAGUUUUCAAUUUUUUUUGGCGAUUUCAACAAAUCGAGGCGGUGGUGGUCUGAAGAGCGCUUAGUUGGACGAGUAAUCGGUUAGACGACCAAUUUUUAGAACAAGGGUCUUGACAAUCCACAAUGCAAGUGUUGAAUUAUUUAUUCAAUUGUUGAACCUUCACAUUGCACAUGUUGAAUAGUUUAAAAAAUCUUACGUGGAUUCAACUUGGUUGAAAGUAUUCAAUAUGUUAUAAAGAAAAAAUUUGGGCCCGCGCAUGCCACAUGUCAAUAAAUGAGUAAAGGAUGUGUUUCAAACUCGGAGAAAGGAGAGCGUAUUGUCCAAACCUUUUUCUUUUUACUUUUAUUUUUUUUUGCAAAAAGAAGAGAUUAUUGAGAUGCUCACACUUGCUAUAUUUUCAUUAGAUAUUAAGAUUUUGGAGAUUUUAUUUCUAUCUUAUUUAUUUACAAUCAAUUAUUACAUACCAAACAAUUUUUUUUUAAAAACUUAUAUUUAUAUGAAAAUUUAUAAAUUUUUAAACUCUAGAAAUAGAGACUUAGUUCAUUUUAUUUGGACACAUAAAAAAUAUUAUUUCUACCAUAAUUUUCUUAUUCUUCUCCCAUAAACUCUUGGUUAUAUCCUUUUUUUUUAUGGAUUCUAAUAAAAUCCCUAUGCAAAAUUAUACUAAUUUUUCCUUUCCCUAUCCUAAUUCCAACAAUAAUCCUACGCAAAAUUCGACUAAUUACGUUUUUCCUUAUCAAAAUCCCAACAAUUAUCAAUUUCAAAAUCUAUCUUUCAACCAACCUCAAAAUUUCCCAAAUUAUGAUUUUCUACCAAAUUUUUCUAUGCUCUCAUCUGUUCCAAACUAUAAUUCAUAUUAUAGAUCGAUUCCAAAUUCAUCUCAACCACCUCUUUAUGAUUUGAGGUUGUGAUUUUCAUUGACAUCAAAAAGAAAAAAAAAAAAAAUAUCACAGAAAGGAGACAAUGAAUAUGAUUAAUAUUUAAUUGGUAAACUAUUAGAUUAGGCGGGGGUUUUCUCAAAAAUUGUCUCUUUUGUAGGACUGUUGUCACCAAUAUUUUCAGUAUCUUUUACUUUUAUUAAUUUUUAAUAAAAUUUAUGAUAAUAAAAAAAAUGAAAAUAAUCGUAAAUAAAAGAAAAAAAGAGAGUUGUGGGUUCUUUCUUUUUAGUUACCCACGCAUCGCUGUCGAAAGAUUAAUUAUGAAAUCAGAUGUUUGGUUGAGUAUAAUAGUAAUGCAUGUCAUUAGUUUAAAUUUAUAAUAUUAAACAAAAUUAUAAAUAAGAUAUUUGAACAAAACAAAAUUAAGUUAGUUUAAACGUUAAUUGGAAACCAAAUAAGAGAUCUGUUAGGAAAAAAGAAAAUAUAUACCAAAUAAGAGAUACAGGAAAUCAGAAAUUUUAAUAUUAUGUGUUUGAAUCUUCUCACCAAAAAAAAUUAUGUGUUUGAAUCUUCUCACCAAAAAAAAUUAUGUGUUUGAAUCUAAUUGAUUAAUGGACACGGUCUAGUAAAUUAUAAUUUUUUUGACCCGCGAAAUAUAGUGAAACAGAGUUUAUCUCUAUACAACAAGACAAAAAAGAAGUUCUAAGAUCAAACUCUGUUUGAUAUACAAAAAUUAUAUUGUAAAUGAAAAUGGAACUUUGAGAUUGAUCUACAACAAGUCUGCUACACUCAUCACAAACGUAAUGUGAUUAUACACAUCCACGUUGGCCGCAAAAACUAAGGAUCUUGUAUCAUCUGGAUCAACAGACAAAAUCAUAUUGCAAUAGUCAGCAGCAUCACGUGCGAGACUAAGGUCGUCAUCAGUCUCAUCAACAUCACCAUUGCCCAUUGACCGCUGUGCCUUCAUUAGCCCCUCGACAACAGAAUCUUUAUAGUUCUCCAUACAACUCUUGAAACAUGGCUUCUUAGGAGAACCAAUGAGAAACUGUGUGUGCUCUGCCUUCUCCAUGGCUAGAGAAAGAGCCGCCUUAGCCAACUCUAAUACAGUCGAUGCGGAUUUCGUGCGAUGAUCUAACGUUAGGGAUUUGAUACAUUCUUCUUCUAGGGACGAGAAUGACGCGGUGCCUUUACAAGCCUUUGAUAUCAGUAAUGAUGGAUAUGGACAUGUCUUUGGUUUGGUUGAUAAAUGGGUAGCAAUGUUGGAUUUUGCAUUGGUAUAUGGCCACCGCGAGAGGAGAAGGAAGGUUAGGAUAUGGAUUGAUAGGUAUGCAUGAGAAGCAUAUAAACAAACCAUCGUUUUAUAUGUUCAACAAAGCUUGUUCUUUGACUAUAGGUUUAAAUGAAAUAGUAGAUUGAAGUUUGUACAUAUAUUAACUUUUGUUGUGUCAAUGGUUUAAAUUGUCCAUUGUUUAGUUCCACAAGUUUUAAACAUGAUAUGUUAUUUAUAGGUUUGGAAUGAACGAUAGAGGAAAAAUAAACUUGUCAACGCUAAUAAUAAAAGAGUGUAUCGAAAAAGAGAGAAAAAAACAAAAAUUCAUUGUGAUUCUUUUGUUAUUUUGUUUUUCAAUGAUUCAAUUCAAUGUCUUAAUUUCUCUCCUAACAUAAAAGUUAGUUAUGGGCAUUCGGUUAUCCAGUUUCGGUUCGUUUCCAUUCCGUUAUCGUUCUUUCGGUUCUAGAGUUUAGUAUCCAUUCAGUUAUUUUGAUAUUUCGGUUCGUUUCAGUUCUUACAGUUCUAAAAUUUAAUAUACAUUCGGUUAUUUUGCUUUGAGUAUUUUUGGAUAUUUCUGUUAUUUUUAUAUUUUUGAGUAUUUUUACUAUUUAUAUAUACUUUUUAGUAUUUUUAAUUAUUUAGUCUAGAAAUGACUAGUAUUUUUGAAAAUAUAAUUAUAUUUCGGAUACUUUUGGUUAUCCAAAAUAUUUCAGUUUGUAUCCACUCGAUUUCGGUUCUUUUGGUUAUAGAAUUUUAAUAUCCGUUAGGUUAUUUUCAAAUUUUCGGUUUUGCUCCGUUUUUUUACAUCGGUUGCGGUUCGGUACAUUAGGUUCGUUUUAUAUGCCCAAGCCUAAUAAAAAUCAUGUUCAUUUUGGUAUUUAUAGCUUUAGUAGACACAUGUUUAGUAAAACAAAUUCUCAAACAAGAAGAUUUAUGGAAUACCUUGUAAGACUACUUAGACUAGUUACAAUGGUUUGGUGGUGAAAAAAACAUUUCCACUACGAUGGUGUGCUGUAAUCAAAGCUAGGUGAUGUGGCAAAUUUAGUAUUGAUAAAUAUCAAUACCCGUGAAAGUAGAACAGAGAAGAUAAGUGUGACAAGUGUUAUAUUUUGAUUGGUUGCUUUGAUUUUUAUUUUUUUUGUUUCAUCUCAACUAUAUAACUUCAAUUAUUUUAUAAUAUUUGUACAUAAAAAUAUCAAAAUUUAUAUCAAAAUUUCUAAUUUUACAUUCUCUAUAAAUAGAGACUAUUUUCAUUUGAUUUGGAUACAGAAAAAAAAACUAUUUUUAGACCCAAAAAAGGUAUAAUCGCCAAAAAAAAAACUUUUGUUUUACCUUUAAAUAUCUUUUUAUCUAAGUGGAUCCAAACAAUAACCCUUUCAACACCCAAAACUCUUCUAAUUACCCUUUUAACUAUGCAAAUCCCAACAAUUAUCAGUUUCAAAAUCAAUCUCCUAACCAACCCCAACAAUUAUCAGUUUCAAAAUCAAUCUCCUAACCAACCCCAACAUAUAUCAAAUUAUGGUUAUCCACUAAAUUUCUUCAUGCCGUAAGCUGUUCCAAACUAUCGUCCAUUUCAUGGAUCGAUGAUGUCUUAUCCAUCUUAAACACCUCCUUAUUUUCCUACUCCAACAGGUAAUGAAACUGAUUCGAAUCUUGGAGCAACUGAUUUUCCCGAGUUUUCUACCCAAAUGGCUCUUGGUGGUAUUAGGGUAUUCAUGAAGCCAUUCCAGAUGCAAAGGAUUCAACUCCUUCUCGUCGGAGAAGUCCCAAAUGGACCACUGAUCAAAAUUUGGUUCUCCUGAGUGGGUGGAUUAAAUUUGGAAGAGACAGUAUUAUUGGCAAAAACUAAAAAUGUGAGUCAACUGGGGUAAAAUUGCUGAAUAUUGUAAUGAACAUUGCUCAUUUGAUCCUCCCCGUGAUGGAGAAGCAUUCAGAAAUCACUAUAAUUAUGUGAACAAAAGCGUGAACAAAUGGGCUGGCGCUUAUGAUAACGCUAAAUGUAUGCAACAAAGCGGGUGGUUGGAGGAUGAUGUAUUGGUAAAAGCGCAUGAAUUAUAUUCAAGUGCUGGUAAAAGAAGUUUCAAAUAGGAGGAAAUACUUAUUCUGGAAGCAGUGGAUCUAAAAGAGCCCACGAGAGUGAUGCUAGUGACUCAAACUCUGUAGGAUCUAGUGCUCGUCCAAUGGAAAGAGAUGCUGCUAAGAAAAAGCUAAAAAAAAAGGUAAAGGCGCAGCGUUGAAAGUGGUCAACGAAGAGUCGAACGAAUUUUAACAAUUCAAGGCACAAGAGUUGGAUAGGUUGGAGAAAAUAACUAUGAUGCACAGUGAAACAAACCAAUUGAUUAAGGAAAAGACUCAUGCUAAAAAGAUGAAGAUGUUUAUAGAGCUAACUGAAAAAGAGAAUCUCGAUGACAAGAGCAAAAAGCUAUUGCAACAAUUGAGCCACGAUCUAUUUGGAAAUUAAUUAUUGUCAAGUGGUUAUCUGUAUUUUGUCACUUCAUGCUUUAACGUGUGUUUGUCACUUUCUCCUUUAAUAAUUUGUAUUGUCAUGUUAUGCUUUAAUAAUGUGUGUUUGUCACUUUCUCCGUAAUUUGUAUUGUCUUCUAUGCUUUUUUUUUUUGUGCGAAAUAUUGUCUUAUAUGCUUUAUUAAUAUUAUCCAUGAUUUUAAAUAGAGAAUCUUAUCUUAUCCAUGACUUUUGGUUUGAAGCACUCAAUUCGAAUCCAAGGCACCAACAAUUUAAUUCGUUGUUUCCAUUUUUUUUAUAAAUUAGAACUCAUUCUUCCAUUGAUGUACAAACCAUAAAUCUUACCUUACUAAAAAUCUCAAUGGAUCCAUCAGAAUAUCCUUUUGACAUCAAAGCUUACAAGAGGCAGUCUGAAAUUGAAGAGAUGUAUAUCAUCAAUCGGUUUAGGGAGCGUCGAAACAAAAUAGGGGAAGACUAUCCACCUCGUAGCAAGAGAAAAUACUUUAAAAGAGACCAUGCAUCAGCAAAAUUAAAGAAUAUUGACGACUACUUUGCCAAUGAACCUAUAUAUGACGAUGCAAUGUUUCGUCGGUGAUUCCGGAUGAGAAAACAUAUUUUCUUUCGGAUCGUUGAAGACUUAUCAAACAGCGACAACUAUUUCACCCAACGAUAUGACGCAGCCAAGAAAGAAGGUAUAUCUCCAUUACCAAAAUAUACUACGACCAUGCGAAUGUUUGCAUAUGGUGUGGCAGCUGACGCGGUGGAUGAAUACAGUAAAAUUGGAGGUACUACUACUUUAGAGUGCUUGCGAAGAUUCUGUAAAGGAAUCAUAAAGCUGUAUGAGACAGAGUAUCUCAGAGCCCCAACUCAAGAUGACCUCCAAAGAAUUUUACGUGUUAGUGAGAUGCGAGGGUUUCCCGGGAUUAUUGGGAGUAUUAAUUGCAUGCAGUGGGAAUGGAAAACUUGUCCUACAGUGUGGGAAGGUCAAUUUACUCGAGGAGAUAAGGGAACCACCACUGUUAUUUCUGAAGCAGUUGCAUCUCAUGAUCUAUGGAUCUGGCAUGUUUUUUUGGAUGUCCGGGCACACUAAACGAUAUAAAUAUCCGUUCACCGGUGUUCGAUGAUGUUGAACAAGGAAAUACUACAAGAGUGAAUUUUUUUGUGAGCCAACAUCCGUAUAAUAUCGCUUACUAUCUAGCUGAUGGUAUUUAUCCUUCUUAUCCUACUUUCGUCAAAUCGAUUAGGCUACCUCAAAGUGAACCAGACAAGUUAUUUGUACAACGUCAAGAGGCGUGUCAUAAGGACAUCGAACGUGCAUUUGGAGUGCUGCAAGCUCGAUUUAAAAUCAUUCGUAAACCAGCUGGCCUGUGGGACAUAUUCGAGUUGGCUAUCAUCAUGAGAUCGUGUAUCAUAUUGCAUAAUAUGAUUGUUGAGGAUGAACGAGAGACAUAUGCUCAACACUGGACGGAUUAUGAUCAAUUUGAGGCAAGUGGGUCGAGUACACAACAACCAUUCUCGACCCAAGUGCUACUCCUAUUUGCAAAUCAUGUGCGUGAUAGAUCCAAAUUGCGUGAUUCAAAUGUACAUCACGAAUUGCAAGCAUAUCUAGUCAAACACAUAUGGGCACAAUUUAGAAUGUUCUUGUUGUCUGCUUAUUGUAUUUUUGUAUUUUAAAUUUGUGUUCAUUGUAUGUGUUUUAGUAAUAAUAAUUUUUUCUUCUCGUUUUAAUUAUUUGUAAAAGUUUUUAAAAAUAUUAUAUAAAAUAAAAACAAAUAUAAACACAACAAUACUUUAUAAAACUAUUUAAUGUUUAAUUCUUUUAAAUUUAAUUUGAUAUUAACGAUGGUUAAUAAUAUGUAAUCACAAAAAACAUAAACAUAAAUAAAAUGAAAAAUAUGGAAUAAAAAUGGUGGGGUAAGAUGUUGUAAUUUUACUAAACAAAAACUAUUGUAAAGAUAAAAAUUGGGUAGGUGUUGAAUAAUGAUGUGGAAGAAAGAGAAGAUGAUGUGGAGUGUUAAAAGUAAAAAAGUGGGUGUUGUAAAUGAGUAACCAUUGUGGAUAGUCUAAGGAUAAAAAUUGUAUAGGUGUUGAAUAAUGAUGUGGAAGAAAGAGGAGAUGAUGUGGAGUGUUAAAAGUAAAAAAGUGGGUGUUGUAAAUUAGUAACCAUUGUGGAUAGUCUUACAAUGGACACGUUGAAAAAAAUAUUUGAAUAUGGUGCAAUGGUUGUUUUAAUAAAUGUUGUAGAGGAUGUGGCAAAUUUGGUGAGUAGGGAAAAAUAUCGUUUAAUAUUCCAACUUUCAAAUUAUGGCCAUUUUAUACCUCAACUUUAUAUGUGACCAUUUUAAAUAUGAAGAUAUCGUUGACCAACCGUUUAAACCAUAAACAUUAGUUGACCAGGCUAAAAAAACUAACCGUUAUCACUCGUUAACAGAUUAUCUAACGUCCGUUAACAUCUCCAUUAGCUACCCCUAAACGACGUCGUUUUCAUAUUUUAAAAAUAAAUAACGAACGUAGGAUUCAAACUUGUAACCUAGAGAAAAACUAGAGACUUACUUAACACCCUCACCAACAGUAUUUUAUUGGUGAACUUUGAGAAACAUAUAUUUAUUAAAGUUUUCUCCUUCAACUUUAACCUACAAAACAAAACCAUCUCCAUAGCCGCCGCCUCCAAAUCCGUGUUCUCUCUCCAUUGAUUUUUUUAAUCUUAAUCAUAUAUUGUUUUUUGUUGAUUGAAAAAAAUUUGUAUUUGCUAAUUCAAUUCAUCUGGAACCUAUUUCUAUGAACACCAUUGAUGGAUUAGUCAAUUGAUAUGAAAUCAGUUACACAAACAGCACUAGUUCUUCGUCGUCUCACAUGCACCUUCGUUGUCUCACGUACACCUUGUGUAUAUGAUCUGUGAUUGCUCUUAAGCGGAUCUGAUGUAUUUAACGGCAUAAUAUAUAAUUAUGUGUUUCCGAAUAAUAAUUAUUAAACACUUUAUCUUAGUUGGUGUGGACAAGCAUAGGGAGCACUCGAAAGUUACGGGUUCGAAUCUUGAGUAAGUUAUUUCUUUUUAAAAUAUAAAAAUGACGUCGUUUAAGGGUAGCUAAUAGAUGUUAACGGACGUUAGAUAAUCUGUUAACGACUGAUAACAGAUAGUUUAUUUGGCCUGGUUAACGAAUGUUUAUGGUUUAAACGGUUGGUUAACGAUAUCUUCAUGUUUAAAAUGGCCACAUAUAAAAUUGUGGUAUAAAAUGGCCAUAAUUUGAAAGUUGGAGUAUUAAACGACAUUUUUCCUGUUGUAAUUUGUCAACACCGUGAAUUUUACUGGGUGGGGUUAUCUUUGUCUUGUGUUGUGUUUUCAUUGGUCACUAAAAUUUGACUUUUUCGUCCAAUAAUUUUUGAACUCAAUUAAAUUAUAAUAAACUUUUUUUUUUGUCAUCUGAUAAUUUAUUAAAGAAAAAAAUAAUAAAGUACAUAGUUAGAUCCAAAAGCCAAGUAGAACAGAAAGAGAAACAAAAUAAAAGAGAAACAACGAGAGAUACAAAAUGAAAUUUAAACUUUACUCUCCUCAAACACUUGAUUGUGAAACCAUGAAGGCUCUCCAAGUGCUAUGUAAGACUGAAACCUUCUUUCUUGAAUCACACUUCGAGAAAUGGAUCGCGCGAUCAGAUUUGCGUUUGUGGCAAUAUGACGGAAUGUACAAGAUUCAAAUGCACCAGCAAUCUCAUGGAUUUGUGCUAACCAAUUCCUGUAGAAAGGCCAUUUGGACGGCUGCAAAACGGCGUUAACUGCGGCUGGAUAUUCCAACUCUAUUAUCACCUUGGAGACGUGAAUAUCUUGAAAUGCUUUCAACGACCGUAGAAUGCAGCACAGCUCAGCCCCUGUUCGAUCUUGAAUUGGCGUAAACGCAUCUCGUGCAUGGUGUUUAGCUUGCCCUAUAUCUCUUACAAUUCAAGCUCCUCCACACAUCGAUUGUUUAUUUAUCCAAAAAGAAUUCAAAAUGCAUUUAAGAAUACCUUCUUGGGGUUUCCUCCAUUUGUUUCCAUCCAAAUUGGAGGUGAUUGCCGAGAGAAUACUGUUGAAGGCUACGUGUUCACCAUUUUCCAAUGCAUUGUGUCUUCAUACGCUUUUUGAACUAAAACAUGAAAAUUCCAUACCUUUACUUUGAAAACGGUAUGAUUACGAUUCUUCCAAAUUGCCCAUAGAACCCAUGGAAUUGAUAGUCGAGUUUGCUUUGGUAUGUGCUUGUCUUCGAUAACAUUCAAUAGAUGAGAGAAGUUUGCUAGUAAGGUUGUUGAAGAAAAACCUUGAUCCGAAGCUUGCACAAAAUGCUGAGAUUAAUAUGCUUAAAAGGAGAAUAUGGAAUCUAAAAUCUGAGCCACAAAUCAAGCUUUUCUGUUGGCGUGCUCUUUCUGGUGCUUUGGCUGUGGCAGAACGUUUAAGCUCACAGGGAAUACAACAUGACACAAAGUGCCAAAUUUGUGGUAUAGCUACAAAAACAAUAUGUCAUACUCUAUUCUCUUGUGACGUAUAGAAUAAGAAAAUGAUGAAUUUUGGUGUAAAUUAUUUAUGUAUCUAAUAGUAGUUAUUAAAAAAACCAUUGUAGUAUAUGAAAGUAAACUGAAUGUUGAAUGAUGAUGUGUAAGAGAGAGAAGAUGAUGUGUAGGUUGUUGUAAUUUUAAACCAAUGUAAAUAGUCUAAUAAAAAAAUAUUUGGGUUCACCCCACUCUUGUUCACCCUCUCUUAAUAAGCCAAUCAAAAUACAACAAAAUGCCAUGUCGUUUAAUAUUUAACAAUUAAAAUAUUUGGGUUCACCUCUAGGGUGGUUAAAGUUUAGAUUUUAUAAAUAAUUGAAAAUAUAUUUUGGUUGAGUUUAUAAAAUAGUGGUUAGAGUUUAAAUUUUAUAAAUAAACAAAAUUAUAUUUCGGUUUGGAUUGAUAAAAUAGUGGUUAGGUUUAGAUUUUGUAAUUAAACGAAAUUAUAUUUCGGUUUGGGUUGAUAAAAUAGUGAUUAGGUGUUAGAUUUUGUGAUUAAACUAAAUUAUAUUUUGGUUUUGGUUGAUAAAAUAGUGGUUAAAGUUUAGAUUUUGUGAUUAAACGAAAUUAUAUUUUAGUUUGGGCUGAUAAAAUAGUGGCUAGACUUUAGAUUUUGUAAUUUAAUUAAUUUAUUUUUUCAAUAUAUGAUAUGUCAAAUUCUAAUUGGUCAUUAAAAAAUGGUGAACCCAAGAAUUGUUCUUGUAAUAAUUAAACUUCUUAGAACAACAAAAAUUUACAAUAAAUUUAUAAAAGGAACAAUUAAAAAAAAAAAAAGGAGCAAAAAGCAUGAUAAAAGCUGAGAGAGGAAACUUAAAAAGCACACUUGUUUCCAAAACUAAAUAGGGUCAGUCCCAAAAUUGGAUUUGUAUAGUAACAAAUGAAUAACGGAAAAGAGAGUUUCAAGAUCUACGAACAACAGCAGUAGCGAAAUAAGGAUGAUGGGUGAACUCAAACGAUACCUUAAGCGAACGGUCUUGACAGAAAAGGUUCACAGCAACAAUAUUGCGUUCCGCGACUUUCUCUAAUCCCGUGACUUCAGCCAGCUUAUCAGGAUCGUUGGCGUAACCGACCUUUAUGUCCUUAGCGAUCUUUUGAGCAUCGUGAAAGUACUCAUACAUAGGAAGAUACUGCAGCAAAAGUAAAUAGAUACAACUUUACUUGCAUGUUCAAAACUCUUUCUAAUCGAACAUAGUAGAUUUAUACGUGUACACAUUCAUCACUAAAACAUUGUAAACAUUACCUAUGUUAUUAUUUGCUCAAUGAAGAUUGGGAUCUCAAUUUUCAUGUGUUUAUAUUUAUUAAUCAAGUUAUUGCUUUUAAGCAAAUAGUUAACUAAUAAAUCCUACAUAGAUAUAUUUUAAAUAAACUGUGAAUCCUAAAUUUUUCCGUAUUUUCCGAAUUACCUGAACCGAACUCAAGAUUUUGCGAUUUAUGGUAUUAAAGCAGAUAGUGAUUGUAGGUACCCGGACUACCUUUACAGUACUCGAUUCCCUAUCACCCAACCAAUUUUUUUAAGUGUAUGCUUCGGGUAGUAGAUUUAGAUAUACCUGAAAUAACCAUAUCCAACCCUUACCAGCUAUUACCUGACUCUAUACCCUAAAUGCACAUGCCUACUUCUACAAUUCAUUUGACCAAGUAAACAGGAUUAAGCACAAAAACAAAGUUGAAUAAAGCACACUUACGUCGAGACGAGCAUGGGAUGUGGAUUUUGAGAACGAUUCAUAUGCGUCAUAUUCUGGAAGGGAUGCCUUCUGAAGGAGUUCAAAAUGCUGUAUAAAUUUCUGCAUGUCAAGGAAAAUGGGUAGUUGAAGUCAUACACAGGAAGGGAUAAAACCACUCACCCAUUACUAAGGCUGAGGAUUUUUAUCUUACACAUUAAUUCAAUAACUAUGCAACAGAUAAAGAGACUUAUGCUUACCUCAUUUUCGGUAUUAAAAGGUCCUUGACUCUUUAAAGACAUUCCUUCAUUUCUCAAAGCUGCAAUCAUCUACGGGUAAAUACACAAGGUUUGGUCAGGUUUAGAGUACUUGAUAUCAGCAAUAGAAGGAGCUGGAAACCAAGAGAUUGAAGACAAAAUUACCACUGUGAGGCCUUGUGCAAGACAGGUCUGACAUUUGAGAAACAAUACCCAUAGACUAAUCCGAUCUUCCCGAGCCAUGUCCCUAGAAUACUCCUUAUUCCUCUUUGCUUUUCUUUCCUCUGAUCCAGAUGAAGGUAAAUGCAUUAUAAAAAGCUACAAAUACACACUAUGCAGUUAUGCCAAACCAAUUACUGUACAGAUGGUUCAUCUCCGAAACACUAGGACACAAAAUAAAAACAAAUGGAUAUAUGAAUGCUUACCAGUGUUCACAACGAUUAAGACCCUGAAACGUGCUCUUUCGGCAAGCUUCCAGAGUAUAAUAUACAUGUACCAGUAUACCAUGCAAUAUUCACUUGGCGAGUAGAGGUCUAGGUCAAAUCCCAGCAUGAGAAAGCGAAUUGCCACCCAAUUAAUUUGCUCUUCUAAUCCACCAUAUAUAUGGUUUAAAAUGAGUAGAGACUUAUCCUGAAAGGUACAUAAAUGCAAGUUAACACAAAAUUCAAUAUCUGCUUAUCAAUAGAGCCAAAAUUUUCCGAAAGAGAAAACAGAAGUUGUAGGAAUUUUGACUACUGGUUUGUUCAUGCUAACAAUGAAUAGACAGCCGUCAACUAGAUUCAGAUAGAGGUUUGAUUAAAUGGACCCAUAGUGAUGGUAGUAAACCUACCCCAUUUUUCGAACUGCGUGAUGUAUCUUGCUGCAUCAUUUGACCAACAGCAAUCCCCAUCUGCCAAAUACAGGAAAAUGUAUGAAUGAGAUCUUGACACAAAAACCCAAAUCAAUAUGCAAACAAUUUUAGGGUAAGCGAGCUUACAUAUAGUUAAGUAAAGAAUAAUACAGUUCCAACAAAGGCACAAAUGGUAUAACCUGCACAUGGAAUACGCUCCAGUCAUUUAAGAUUUUCCCAAGCUUACGCCUCUGCCAUGGGGUAUUAGCGCAUAGUAUUUUAAGUAGAUUAACCAUCAACUGCACCACAAAAUGAGAAUAGAGAUCAAACAGAGAUUUCUAAGAAAGGAGCCAGUUGAAUAAUUAUCUAACUUUUUCAGGAUCCAGAGGCUACCAAAACCACAAAACAUAGACAAGGCAUUCUCAUCAAAGUCCCCAUUAAAACAAAUAAUUUUUUGUUGUUUCAAUCUUCUUGAUGAUUGCAAAUUAGUUACAUCCACACAUGCUGAAAUUCUCUGAGAUUGGGGCUUAUACGCCAGACACCGAAUAUUGAACAAAACCAAUGAAAGAUUAUUCUUUUCAAGGUUUUACCAAGUUCCAAACUCUUUUCAAGGAAGAAUAAAGAGCUACCUCAUACACGUUUGUAGAAAAAAAUGUACCCAACGUAUUCUUUUAAUAUACUGUGUUUACCUGAUUAAGUUGAAGAAUGUACUCAUUCGUAUGGAGGCCAUGGUUCUUGGAGACAUCUAAUGCAAGAGAUCUGGCGCAAAUUGUCAAAAAGGUAUCACGGCCGUAAAGUUUCCCAUCUUGCACAAGGAGAAGCUGUAGAACAAGAUUAUUUAUUGAGUAUAAAAGGUAAAAGCAUUUUGCUAGCUUAAUACAUAAUUUAUUCACAAAUAUUGCUAAUAUCAUAACAAAAAUGGACAACCAUAUCAAUGCUUAACAGAAAUUUACAAUCAGAAUCAACCUCAACUACAAAUAUUGGAUCUAUAUUCUUAUAAGUCUUCAUAAGAAAGAAAAAUGAGAGUGUCAGCCACUACAUAUUCCAGUGUCAUCAUAAAUAAUAUCUAGAUAACAAUAAUAGUAAAGAGUCAACAAGAAGAAUAAGCAGAGCAUUCAACAGGCCUGUUGGCGAAAUGGGGCUUGAGGUGGUUCACGAGAGUUGGAUAUUCUCUAGUCCAUUGGUUCUAAGUUUAUGCAACUGUUCUUACAGAAAUAAAGGAGAUUUCUACUAUAGUCAUAUGGCUGAAUCACUCAACUCUAAGUGACAAUGAAUUGAAAAUGAGUGCUAAUGAACACAAAACUGCAAAGCAAGGAAGCGGGUAAAAGAAGAAGCCAUAUUAUCCACUAUACAAACACACCCUAGUGGAUGUAUGCGAACAUCAGUGCAACUACAGCCAAAAUAGUUACUCAAAACAAGAAAACAAAAUGAUAAAUGGGUAUCUGAAAGCACAGAGCUGCAUGAUAUUGAUGCGUUAAGUUAAAGUAACGCACCUGAAGAUGAGCCCUAGCAACCAAAUCAGGACGAGAUUUUUGAAACUGAAUCACAAACUCCAAGACGGCCUCUAAAUCUGGUUCCAAUGAAAAUGCACAGAUCUUAUCCAGAUUGUGAAGAAGUUUCACAUAAUAGUCAAUAGCCUGGAGAAUCAAAAAUUGAAAAAAGUUACUAAAAAGUUAUAUACACACAAACUAAAUUACGUAUACAGAGAAUUUAGAAGUCCCAACCUUUUUCCAAGAAAGAAGUUUAAUGGCACGUGGCGGCGUUGGAGCUGAUAAUCUUUUGUUUAAAGUAGGAUCAAAUCCAAUGGGGGACCGACCAGAAGCAGUUGUACUUUCUUCUAUCUCGUUUACGCCAUUCUCGAAAAUAUCUAAUCUUAGAAAUUCUGCUGAAUCCAGAACAGAAUCUAGCUCUGAUAUGCAAUAGCCUAUAUGUUUCCUUGCCAAUUCGAGGCCACGUCCUUGUGGUCGUCUCAUACAAUUAAGAGCAUGUAGAAAAUGCUGAAAGUUAUUGAGGAUAUGUUAAAACAACUAGCAGUGCAAAAGUAUAUAACAGCUACUAUUUUUUUUUUUAAAAUGGCUUACGAAACAAAAUAAUAAUAACAUCAUGAAUCACAUGUCUGGCGAGAAUUUUUAACCAAAAAUAAGGGUAAACAGGUAAUAAAAGCUGCCAUAUACUCAAAAUUUAGUCUCUGCUAAGCUUGUUCAUUCUUGUAAGUUGCAUAACAUGGAAAAUUUAACACAAUAAAACAUAUAUUAACUUUGUCUACCACUCCCCAUUGUGAGGUUAGGUUGAAGAAAAGCAACUCAUCAUACUCUUGUUACGUGUAGUUUAUCAAAGAAAGAAUAAAUAAAGCAUGAGACCUUACGGAACACUGGAUAAAAGACCAAAUGCAAAUUUUAAGUACUAAUUGUAGUUUUUCUUUUUCAAAGCAAGCAAUAAAAAAUUCUAUUCAUCGAUGGCCACCAGAAUACUAAUAAAAGGAACAGACUUGGGACUAUAUUAUACACUAGUUAACAUGACUUAAGUUGGGAAAACCUGUAAUUAACAACAUUUAUCAAAGAAAGAAUAAAUAAAGCAUGAGACCUUACGGAAACGUAUCCGGCAUAACAGAGAUUUGCAAAAACUCUCUUCCAGAUGGGGAUUACUUUGUAGAGGUUCCAAUUCUGCAUCUUUAACAAACAAAAGGAAAGAAAGUUAUUGUUCUCAGUUCGUGCUGCUGUGCACCAUUGUUACAAAUAAACAAUAGACCAUAUCACUCAAAGAGAUGGUAAAUUUUUAAAAAGAAAAAAUCAAUUGUAAUAAUCAGCGGACUUCACAUAUAAAUCAUUACUCAAUAGAAGACUCAAAGUUAUCGUAUAUAGGCCAGAGAGGCUAAUUUCAAGUUGGUAUAUGCUUAGAGAGCACUUGCAAAAUAUCUAAUUCCAAUGCAUUAUACUGUCUCCAAAUCACAAAUCACCAUUAAAUGUGUAAACAACAUAUCAUAAGAAAAGAAGCAACAGAAGACUCUUCGAUCCCCUCAUAUGAAUACGCUCUUCAUAUUUCAAUUCUGCAAGUGUGUGUAUGUAAAAUAAAAAAGGAAGAUAUGCAAAGCAAAAAAAGUACCUUCCAACAUUCUCCUUCUUGUGGCCUUACAAGCACGCAGCUGACGACAGAUAGUUUCUUCAACCGCAUUCAAGAGUAACAAGCCCUUGGCAUCUUCUUCUCCACUAAAAGGAAGACCAUAUGUCAUCGUAAAAAGAUCCUCUUCCUGUUAAUGAGCAGGUAUCAGGUGAAUCAUUCAGAGUAAACUAUCCAUGAAGCAGGGGCAUCUGUCUAGUUAAGAGAAACUUCUAUCCAAAAUAUCACAACAAAUCUUCUCAAGUAUUUUAUCUUCAUUUAGCUGCAUAAUGGUGGAAAUUUCUACAGAAAUAAGUUAUACGCUCUGCUAAUCAUCUCAAGAUUAAAUAACAACUGCUUAGGCUAGAUGAGAACGGAUGCCAAGACUUCAUUAGAAGAGUAAAGUCAAGUGAAUCCAGUUUUCGUCUCUGAUGUCAUAAGCUUAAGGUUAAUGACAACUAUGAAAUGUCAAAAUGGGUUAGCAACUGUUUUUCUUUACGCCAUAAAAGAAUGUUGGACAUAGCAAAAGAUUUUAGGAGCAAACAUUGAACACAAACUAAACCUUUAAUGAAAAGCCAAAAAACAUACAGAAACAUUUGCUUAGCCCCACAAGAAUAAAAGAGGACCAAAAAUUGUAAAAGUUAAUUACUUCAUUUGUACGCGCAUCUGAAACAACAGAAACAACUGCCCUGCAAGUUGCUCGGAUGACCCUACAAUAAGAAUGUAAUAGAGCCUGUGAAGAUGUCCUCUCAGGCCUCAGAACAUAGAUGCAUGAAAACACAGUUUGGGCCAAUGAAUGACCCAUGUGCCAUGUUGCCUGCAAAAGAGUAGAGACACAAAAUGUGGAUAAAUCAACUCCAAGGCUGACAUGUUAGCUACAUACAUAUCUCUUUAUCACAAUUAUACCUUGCAAACUCACACAGUAUUAUAUGAGCACAUGUAAAGAAGAGAUUACCUCACACGCCAGGAGAUGGUCCAUAAUGUCAAUGAUGGAUUGCACAUUAACAGUACUAUCCGAACUUAUAGGGACGGGCGCAAAACCACUUUCGAUGGCUUCAUCUAUAGAAUAAAACGUAGACACCAUACCAGAAUCCAUCUUUGGGUCCAUUAUCUAGUACAAAGCAAGGACACCACACCAUGUUUGUUAUACACACUUAUAGCAACCUCACAAUCUAAGUUUACAGCUAAGAACAGUCCAAACAUAUUUUGUUACAAAAUAGAAACCUCUAAAGCAGACAUGGCAGCAAAAAGAUUGAAAUUAUCUCCAUUUAUGAGUUCACCUUCUUGAAGAUCUGCAAACAGAACGACUCAUGAAACUAAAACAAGUGGGGAAUACAAGCAAAAUAGGCAAUUGCGAUCAGUACCAGAGCAGGCGGCGGAGAGGAGAGGUGAUACAUCGGCCCAGACGGAGUUAUUAUCACCGGAAGGGAUAGAAGAAGAGGUUUUAGAGUCGUGAUGAAUCGGAGAAGACGAAUCUUCAUCUUCCCUAACUGAUUGCAUCGUUUGUUGUUGUUGUUGCUCAGGAAACUUGAAAAUCGCUUUAAUCUCUCGUAAUUGGUUUUUUUUGCUACUUAUGGUAUAAGUUUCGUCUUGCUCGAUGGAACACUUUGCCUGGGCUGUUUAGGGUAAUUUUCGGGUCGGAUCCUCAGCGGAUACCCAACCCCCAAUCACCCGAGCCUCCUGCCGUCUUUUUUUUAUAAAUCAACCUUUAAAACCAACAAAAAGAUUUUCAAAAUUUUAAAUCUAUAGUUUUAUGGGUGAAUUUGCGGUAUAAUCAAAAUCUAAUGUAAAAUAAAAAAUAUAAAAUCUUAUUGAAAAAUAUUAAGAAAGUAAUUAGAUUAGUGAAAAGAUAAAAUUGUAUAGUGAAAGACACGCACAAUAAAAAAAAAGAAGAGGUUUUGAAUGUUUUGUAGAUUUUGUAAGAGUUUUUGGUUUUUGUUUUUUAAAAACUUAUUUUUAUACCAAUUAAGAUUUUAAAAUUUUGGUUUCCCUACAAUUUAGUAAAUUUAUUUUAUUGUAGUUUUCCAUUCAUGAUUUUAGUUUUUUAGUUUUCCUAAAAUUUAGGAAAUCUAGUUUUUAUUCAAUCAACGUUAUUUUUCUCAAAAACCAAAAACCGAUUUUUUGGGGUUUUUAAAACAAAAAUAUAAUAACAAAAAUCUAAAACUAAAAUCUAAAAUCUAUAAACUAAAAUCUAAACUCAAAAACUGAAUCAAAAAUCAGCAUCCAUUCAGAGCUAGAGUAUAUGAUGAUAUAUGUAAAAAAGUAGAGAGAAUAAUAAAGAGGAAUUGCAAAACUAACACAUUUUUACUAAAAUAUUAAGAAUAUAACAUUAUAUAUGUAUCAGUUAACUAACUAACCUAAAUGGUAGAUUAAAUGAUCAUAGGUGGUGGUUUGGAUCCGGCGACGGCGGUGGCUCCGGCGGCGGCGGUGGCUCCGGCGACGGCAGUGGCUCCGGCGACGGCGGUGGCUCCGGCGACGGCGGUGGCUCCAGGGACAGCGAUGGCUCCGGUGACAGUUCUGGUGGUGGCUCCGGCGAUAGCGGUGGCUUCGGCGAUAAUUCCGACAAUAACAGUGUCUCCAGCGAUAGUUCCGGCGGUGGUUCCAGGGACGGUGGAGGCUCCGGUGACAAUGGGAACACCGACGAUGGGGUGGUUGCUCUGGUGAUGUCAUUCGUUCUCGUAACGGGGGUAGCUCCGACGGCGACGGUGGUGUUGAUGACGGUGGCUGUGGCGGCGGUAGUGGGUGUAGUGAUGAUUGUUGUGGUGGUGGUUAAUGGUGAUUAUUGUGAUGGCGAAAUUAUAAUAUAAUAUAUUAUACAGUUAUUAUAGUGUAAAUUUUUUCUAAUAGGCUAGUUUCUUAAUUUGUAAUUUUUUUUAAGUUAUACAUGCAAAUUCCCAAAAUACUAAUGACAUGGCUAAAUUAAUAUCACCCCAAAUAAUUUUGCUUGUUGAUUUAGUCUUAUAAAUUUUGCAAUAAUUUUAUAAGAACAUAGAUUUUUUUGAGUAUAACAUGAUUUAAAUUUUUAAAAUCUAAUACAAAUUAUUUAAAUUAGGGAACAAUGUUUGUCUAAACCACACAAAUAAAAUAGUAUAGAACAAAACGUAGAUAAUUCAAAAGGCCGAGUUAAACCGCUCUAAUAAAAAAAAUACUAUCCCUAUGAGAUACAAUAUUGGCAAUCCAAGUAACUAAGGUAAACUAUAGCGGUGAGCCGGUGACGUUGACGAUGGUAAUAGUGGUGGUGGCAACGAUGAUGGUAGUGGUGGCAGUGGCACUAAAAAUGACAUUGAUGGUGGUAAUAUUAAUUGUUAGUGGUGACAUGAUGAUGGUAGCGGCAAUGACGGUAGUGGCGGUGGGAUGGUAGUGUAGUAAUAAUUGUUACUUGUUAGUAAUGGUAAUUAUAAACUAGUUUUUUAUUUUAUUUUAUUUUAAUAUAAAAAUAUAUAUAGAAGAUGAGAUUACUAGCUAGAGAGAAAGGGAGAAAGAAAAAUCCACAUGUAUUGAUAAAUAAAUAACCAGAGCAAAAUACUAAUAAUUUACAAACUCCCAAAUAUUGUGUUAUAAAUAGGUUUAGUGUUUUCAAUGGGUUGCAAAUAAAAGAGUCAAAUAGGUAGAAGAGACCUUUGGGGAAACUAUAAAAUUUAGCAUUCGUGGUAGAUGAAGAAGGGAGAAUCUAAUGAAAGAAUCAGCAUGAAAUGCAACAGAGGAGGGGAAAAAAGAAGGUGUAUGUAGUGUAGAGGGCAAAGUUAUCAUUAAUACAAAAAAUACAUAAUAUAUCAACCUUUUUUUUGUUUGAUGUUAGUUUUUUAAUUUAUAAUUUUUUGUUGGUUAUUUAUGCAAAUUUCCCUAGUUUUAUUUAAUCACCAUCUUAUUAUAUAAAGUACCAUUUUGAAAGUUACUAACUCACAUAAUGGUGUCACGUGUCAAGUCUAAUAAUCAGAUAUUUACAUAUGUCAUUAAAGAUUUACCUUUUUAUUCUCUUAUAAAAAUAAAAAAACCUAAAAAAGUAAACAAAUUUACAUAUACUAAUUUUUAUAUCUAUAUAUAUGUAUAUAAUAUUUUGAUUAACCAAUAGGAAAAUUAACAAAAAAAAAUUUUGGUAGGGUGAGGGGGACCAACCCUUCAUUUAUUAUAGAAAAAAAAAUAGAAAAUUACAUACGAACAUUAACAAAUUUGCUUUUACAUGUGAUAUUGGUCAAUUAAAUAAAUCUAGCAUGCAUUAACUAAUUAAAAAGACCAUCGAAAUAUUGAUUUUUCCCGCCUAAAAUAUUACAAAAAUAAAUUUCCCGCAAAAAACAUUUCAAAAAAAAAGUCCGCCCAAAGUUUUUUUCCAAAAAUAUUUUUCCUACAAAAACCUUUUUGGCGGGAAAAAGAUUUACAAUGGGUUUUAAAAGAUUUUUAAAGGCUUUACAAGAGUUUUAAAUGAUUUACAAGUGUUUUUGAAAGAUUUUUAUAUGGUUAACAAGGGUUUUAAAGGAUUUUAAAAAAGAUUUAAAACCCUUUAAAAACUUUUGUAAAUCUUUUUAAAAUAUUUUGUAAGGGUUCAAAAGAUUUUUAAAAUGGUUCAAAAUUAUGAAAGGGUUUACAAGGGUUUUUGAAAAGAUUUUUAAAUGGUUUACAAGGGUUUUAAAGGAUUUACAAGGUGUUUUAAAAGAUUUUUAAAAGAUUUACAAGGGUUUUAAAAUCCGUUAAAAACACUUGUAAAUCUUUUUAAACCCUUUUAUAAGGGUUCAUAAGAGUUUUAAAAUGGUUCAGAAAGAGUUACAAAUGUUUUAAAAUAAUUACAAAUUAUUUUAAAUCUUUAACAAAAUGAUUUAAAGACUUUAUAAGAGGUUUAAAAAGAUUUUAAAAAGAUUUACAAAGGUUUUAAAAAUCCUUGUAAAUUGUUUGAAAACCAUUGUAAAAGGUUUUAAAAUGAUUUAAAAAAGGGUUUAAAAGGGGUUUAAAAGUAUUAACAUAUGUAUUUAAAGACUUUAUAAAGAUUUUAAUAGGUUUAAAAAUGAUUCACAAGAGUUUUUUUAACAACUUUACAGAGCUUUUUAAAAACUUUACAAGGUUUUCUUAAGAGUUUUUAAAGGGUUCUUAAAAAUUUUACAAGGAUUUUUAAAUUCUUUUUUUUGUAGGGAAACAAUUUUGAGGAGAAUAUUUUUUUUGGCAAGGAAAAAGUUUACAAGGAUUUUUGACGAGAAUAUCUUUUUGGCGGGGAAAAUAAAUUUUGGUGCAAAACAUUUUUGGCGGAAAAAUUUCAGUUUCUAAUUAUAUGUUCUUACUAGAUUUUAACCCGCGGUGUACCGCGGGACUAUUUAUUUUAUUAAAAAUAACUAAAAAUAUAUUAUUUUAUAAAUUAUCUGUAUGUAACAUAUUGUUUGUAUUUUAUAAAUAUAUAAUCCUAAUUUCUAUAUAUUGUACAAUCCCUUGAUUUUAUCAUGGAGUACACCGUAAGUCGAUUUUUAAAAUUUAAAAUUUAAAAUUAUAUAUGAUUUUUGUUAAGAUUGUUUCUUUUGUCAUAUAUUUUAAAUUAUAUCAUUGUAUUUUAAUUGUUAGUUAUAGGAUUUCACCCGUUGUAUAACGUGUCGUAUUACUAUAAACUCAAACCCGUCUUACCAUCUAAUUCCGUUCAAUGAAAUUAAACAUAUUUAAUGGAUUUCAUCCUAGGUAUAUUGUCUCAUAUUACUAUCGACCCAAACCCGUCCUACCAACUAACCCCGUUCAAUAAAAUGAAAUAUUAUUUUAUUAUUUUUGUUUUAAUAAUACUUUAAUUUGAAAUAUAUAUAAUUCAAAUCAAUUUCAAACUUUUUAUUUUAAAUGGUUAUUUAAUUGUUAUAAUUUAUAAAGUUCAUAUAUUUUAAUAUUCUAAACUCGUCAUACCAUCUAAUCCCGUUCGGUGAAAUUAAACAUUAUUUUUUAAUUUUUUUGCUUAAAUAAUAUUUUUAUUAACAGAUUUAUAAUUCAAAUAAAUUUAAAAGGUGUCGUUCAAAUAGUUAUUUGAUUUUUUAUAGAUUUCACAUCUAAAAUAUUUCUCUAUAUGUAACAUAUAGUUUUGUAUUUUAGAAAUAUUAUAAACGUUUUUUCCUUAAAUAUUAUAAACGUUUUAAAAACUUUAAAUAAUUACAAUAUUUACCUUUUAAUAAAGUAUAAUAUUAAUAAUCAUUUAAAUAAUUAUGUGUAGCUAAUUUUAAGGGAUUUGAUUUAAAGCUUGUUGUUUGGAUUAAAUUUGAAUGAAUAAUGUGAUUGAUAUAUUAAAUCAAGAAUUAAAAAUCAAAUCAAAUAAUUAAGGAAAAAAGAAUUAAUGCCAAUGGCAUGCCAUUGUAAAUAAGUGUCAAGUAGAGGAUUUAUUUGCUAAAAUAUAAUUUUAGUUUUUUAAAAAUUAACUGAAAAUAUAUUAUAUUAAUUUGUAUUUUUAAAUAUAGAUAUCAAUCUCUGUAUUAUUUAGUAUAUGAUUACUAUUAUUUAGGUUUCAAUUUUUGAAGUAUAGAUACGAAAAUACAUAUUUUUUUAAGUAACGAUGUAUGGUGAAUUUUAAAUUUUUAAUAUUUUAUCCAUAAUAUACCGUGGGUCGAUUUUUUAUAGCUAAAUUUUUAAAUUUCAAGUUAUAAUCGUUUUGUUAAUAUUGUAUGAUUUUUUGUGUUUAAGGUUGUAUAAUUGUAUUUUAAUUGUAAAUUUUAAGAUUUCAUCAAUGAUAUACCUUUCUUUAUUAAUAUCGAUCAAAACCCGUCAUCCAAUAUAAACCCGUCUAUAUUAUCUCGUUAGCUAAAUAUUAGUAUUAUAAAAUCCAAGAAAAUAAAUUAUUAUUGUUAGAAAUACAAUAAUUUUAGGAUCUCACCCGUGUUAUACUGUUUUUGAAUGAUUUUAAAUUUCUACUACUAAUAUAGAUUUUAAAUUUGUCAUAUAAAGUAUAUGAUUUUAACUUUUUGUAUUUUUUUAUUUAAAUAAAGCAACGGCUUAAAUGAUGAUAGAUAUAGUUCUUUUUUUGUAUGUGUAUAUGAUUUUUAUGUGAAUAUUUUCAUUAUUAUAAAUUAGUAUUUUUAUUGUUAUGCAAAAUGUUAAUAUAAAUAUUUUCUAUAAAUCGGAUUUAUGCAUAUUUUAUGGAGUAAAAUUCACAGAAUUUUGUUUUUGAAGAUAUAUGGAAAGAUUGUGUAGAGAUUUUUAGAAAUAAAUUAGGCAAGAUAUCGUUUGGUUAAUAUCUUUUAAAAUUUUGUAAAACUAAAUAAUAAAUGCUAGUGACAGCCGUUGUAAAUAAGUCUGAACUCCAGGAUUUAUUUCACAAAAUGGUUGCAAAAAUGUAUAUGUAGAUUAGAUGAGGAUAAUUUGUUCAUUUUGUUCAAAAAAAAAAGGGAGAUUUGCAAAACUACCAUUUUUUACUACCCUUUUGCAACAAUACCCUUUUAUAUUGUUCAUUUUUAAAAAUAUCCCUUCUCUUGAACAGAAUGACCAAAUUACCCUCAUCUAAUAAGAACAUGUAAUUGGAAACUGAAAAUUUCCCGCCAAUAUUUAUUUUUCCCGCCAAAAAAAAAUUUCCGCCAAACUUUAUUUCCCGCCAAAAUUUUUUCUCGUAAAAUUUUUUUCCCAGCCAAAAUAAUGCUUUUAAAAAUCCUUAUAAAUUUUCUUAAAACUCUUUUAAAAAACCUUGUAAAGUUUUUUAAAAGCUUUGGUAGUUGCUAAAAACCCUUGUAAAUCAUUUUAAAACCUCUUAAAAUCUUUAUAAAGUCUUUAAAAACAUAGGUAAAUACUUUAAAACACCUUUUUAAACCUUUGUAAAUCAUUUCAAAAUUUCCACAAUAGUUUUACAAGAUUUACAAUCAUUUUUUAGCAUAAGUAAGUGGCAUUGAAUGAUUUACAAGGGAUUUUAAAAGCUUAUAAAAGGGUAAAACAUGAUUUACAAUCGUUUUUAAAGCAUAAGUAAGUGGCAUAUAAUGAUUUACAAGGAUUUUUAAAAAGGGUUAGCAUGGUUUACAAUAUUUUUUUAAGCAUAAGUAAGUGGCAUUGGAAUUAUUUACAAGGGAUUUUAAAAGCUUAUAAAAGGGUAAAACAUGAUUUACAAUCGUUUUUAAAGCAUAACUAAGUGGCAUAGAAUGAUUUACAAGGAAUUUUAAAAGUGUUUGUAUGGUUUACAAUCGUUUUAAAGCAUAAGUAAAUGGCAUUGAUUGAUUUACAAGAGAUUUUAAAAGGGGUUAACAUGAUUUACAAUCGUUUUAAAGCAUAAAUAAGUGUCAAAGAAUGAUUUACAAGGGAUUUUAAAAAAGGUUUGCAUGGUUUACAAUCGUUUUUAAAGGAUAAGUAAGUGUUAUAGAAUGAUUUACAAGGAUUUUAAAAGCUUAUAAAAGGGUAAAACAUAAUUUACAAGAGUUUUUUUAAAGAGUUUUAAAAGGAUUUACAAGGAUUUUAAACCUUUGUAAAUCCUUUUAAAACUCUUAUAAAGUCUUUACAAGUAUUUUUUAACUCUUAGAAAAAGAAUUGUAAGUAUUUAAAACAUUUACAACUCUUUUAAACCAUUUUAAAACUCUUGUGAAUCUUUACAAAAGGUUUUAAAAAGACUAGAUGAAUUCCUACGCUAUGCGAGGGUUUGUUUUGAAAAUUGUUUAGAUAAAAAUAUGUUAAUUAUUUUUGUUGCUAAUUUCUGUUUAUUUUUUGUUUGUUAUUUUAUAAUUAGUAAAAUUAGACUCAUCUUAUGUACUUGCAUUUUUUAUUGUUAGGUUCAUUUUUGACUCUAAAAUAUCAAUUUCUAUAUGUUUUCAUGUAUAAUCUGAUUAUUUUUAUAACCAAGAUUCUAAAAUUUGUUUAUUAUCAUGAAUAUACACAACAAGAAUAAAAGAUGUUUUUAUUUCAAGAGUUUUCAUAUGAAAAAAAAGAAGCAAAAAUUAAAGAGUUAUUUUAGUAACACUUUUUAGAUUUAUGCUAUUGCAUAUAGCCAUAUAAGACAAAUGGAUUUGUUUUGAAUUUCGUGGUAUGUCUAACGUCUCAAAAAUCUAUUACUUGAAAAUGUUUAAUGUCAAUGUUACGAACUUACCAUAAGAUACAAAAAUAAAAAGACAGAAUUUCAUAUGAUAAGAUAUGAACCAUAACGUAAUAAUAAUAAAAAAAUCAAGGUAAAAUAAUUAAACUAAUAUUAGGUAGCAAACAACUAAAGUACAACACAAAUAACUAUUUAGUCAUUAUAGAGUGAUGACCAUUGACCAUUAAGUUUUUUUAAAAAUAUGAAAUAAUAAAGUAAAAUAAAAGUAGUAAUUGAUUUAUUUAAAUAAAUAAUUUUAUAAAUUUUUUAUUUUGAAUAAAAUUAUUUAAGAAAUGAACUAAUGGAGGAUUUAACACAAUAUGAGACUUUUGAUUUUCUCUCAAUUAAUUUUGCUGAUUUUUAAUUUAAUCAAUGUUAAUUGACACAUGUCAUUUUCUUGUGUGAUGAUGUGUCACCCAUAUGGAGAAAGUUGGCCAACUUUCAUAUAUAUGAUUUACAAGAGUUUUUAAACGGUUUCUUAUAAUUUCUUUUAAAAUCUUUUAAAAACUCUUGUACAUCUUUUAAAACCCUUUAAAAAUCCCUUGUAAAUCUUUUAAAACACUUUUAAAUCCUUUAAAAAUCUUUAAAAAACUCUUGUAAGUCUUUUAAAGCCCUUUAAAAUCCCUUGUAAAUCUUUUAAAACCCUUUUAAAAUCCCUUGUAAAUCUUUUAAACCCUUUUAAAAUCUUUUGUAAAUCUUUUAAAACCCUUUUAAAAUCCCUUGUAAAUAUAUUUCCCGCCAAAAAACAAUUGUUUACGGGAAAAAUGUUUUCGAAAUUUUUUUUUGGCGGGAAAAUUUUGGCGGGAAAUUUUAUUUUGGAAUAUUUUAGGCAAAAAAUAUUAAUAUUUCAUUUUGUUAACCUAAAUCAAUUUACAAAUAGGAAUAAAAGGGUCAUUAAAAAUUUAAAUAGGGUAUAAAUGAAAAUGGUAAAUAGAAAAGGGUAGAAUUGAAAAGGGGUAGUGUGAAAAGGGCAUUAGAAAGAAUUUUUCAUUUUUAAUUAUACUUUCUUCUAAUUUUUAGUGAUCAUUUUAACCCUAUUUGAAAAUGUUUUAGGUUAACAAAAUGAAAUAUUGAUUUUUUCCACCAAAACGGCUUUUUGCCUAAAGAAACUUUCACGCCAAAAAAUUUCCCGCCAAAUUGGUUUUUUCAAAAACAAUUUUCCCCAUAUAACAAAAAAAAUGGCGGAAAAUAUAUUUUUAAAACCUUUGUAAUUCUUUUUAAAACUCUUGUAAAACUUUUUGAAACCUUUUGUAAGGGUUCACAAGAGUUUUAAAAUAUUUCAAAUUUUUUUACAAAUGUUUUAAAAUAUUAAAACAAAACUUUUUAAGAGUUGAAAAAUGAUUUAAUAAUAAGAAUUUUAAAAGGCCUUACAAAAGUUUCUAAAAUCCUUGUAAAUCGGUUUAAAACUAUUUGAAAACUUUUGUAAAUAAUUUUAAAACCUUUUACAAUGGUUUUAAAAGAAUUAUAAGUAUCUUUAAAUAUUUAUUAAGGUUUUGAAGUAUUUACAUGUGUAUUUAAAGACUUUAUAAAGAUUUUAAAAGAUUUCAAAAUGAUUUACAAGUGUUUUUAAGAACCGUACAAAGCUUUUAAAAAACUUUACAAGGAAUUUUAAGAGUUUUUAAAGGAUGUACAAGAGUUUUCAAAAAAUAUUUUGCGGGAAAAAAACAAUUUGGUGGGAAAACUAAAUUUUGGAGCCAAAACUUUAUUUGGCGAGUAAACUAAAUUUUGGCGGACAAAUUUCAGUUUCUUAUUAAAUAUUCUAAUUAAAUGGAGGGUAAUUUGGUUAUUUUGUUCAUGAAAAAGGAUAUUUUAAAAAAUAGACAAUGGUAAAGGGUAUUUUUGCAAAAGAGCAUUGGAAAAGAGUAUUUUUACAAAUCUUCCAAAUACAUUUGGGUAUAUUUGGUACCUACCUAUUUAUUAAAUUUUAUUCAUUAAAGCUUUGAUGGAUUUUGAAACCUCUUACAUUGGAUAGUUCCAUAUUUAACAAUAUAGACUAGGUCAGUACUCGUGUUUCGCAAGGGGUUCAUGAUUUAAUUAGUUUAUAAAUUUUGUUUCUGUAUAUAUUACUAAUAUAGUUUUAUUUUUAUUCAAAAUAGAUUUUUAGAUUAUCAAUUCCCAAAACACUAUCCUGUCGUUGUAGUAUUUUAGGUUGUCAAUCCAAUCUGCUGGUGUGAUGCAAACAGAUAAGAUAUUAUUAGAAUGCACUAAGUCAAACCAAGCAGAGAGUUUUUGGUUUCUAACAGUCCUCAUAUGAAAUAAAAGAACUGAAAUAAAACUGAAAUGCAAAAUGGCAGUAACAUGCAAAUGAAUGACAAAGCAGAUAAGAUAACAGGCAAUCAAAUGGAUAAGAGAUUCCUAAGGAUGGAGUAAUCGAAUAGCGUGGUCUCCUUAAUCUAUUUAGACGGUUGACAAAACUUCACAGAAGAUAUCUCUAGAAAACAAGUUCAAUGAAAGAUUAAUUCACUACCGUGUAAGAAAUCCUAAAGUGACGUUAUCUCCAUUAGCGAUCUCUAACUAAGCAGACAAUAUCGAAUCAACUUGUUAAAGCCAAUACCCGUUCUAAACGGCCAAUACCUUGGGAUAGAGACGAAUAUCACUGGAAUUAAUAGAUCCGACAUUCCAUCGAACGCCUUCUGAGCGCGGGAAUGUCUGGAUUCAUAUUCCAGUUGAUCAUAAAGGAACAAGCAAUAAGCGCAACUAAUCUAGAAGGGAUUCCAAUAUUCUAAACUCAACCAUCUAGACGACUAAGGUUACCACAACUACUCUAUCCCAUCCUCAGAAAUACAAUUCACUACUCAGACAUAAGCAAAGACAAUAUCAUAGAAACGAAUGAAAACAUGAUAAGGGAUCGAGAAAUGACAAAAGAUAAACGAAAUGAUACUAAGACUGAAAUAUUUAAUACUUGAAAGUGAAUACAAAAUCGCAGGAGAGCGUUGCGGCUACAAAAGUUUUAGAAAAAAGGAUCAUGCCCUAGGGAAAACCCCUAGAGGCUAUUUAUAAAAGCAAGACAAGUUAAGUAAGGAAAGUCUUUGAUAGUAGUCUUCACAUCGGGAGAUUGCGAUUGGGCAUAUGAUGGGCUGAAAUGGGACUCACUGCGAUGGAGUAUGUCAUGGAUCAAACUUGGCUUCAGGGACUCCACCUUGCAAUCGUGUGGUCUGGAGUGAAGACGAGAUAAAAUUGUCCAGCGACCCUGCGAUCGAGUAGAUGUCAUGAGGUGGUGAUCGAGUGGUUUCUUCAGCUUCUCUUCUCUUCCGUAUGCUCAGUGUUGGUGUCGGAUCCCGCACCAAAAGUCCGAAGUCGUCUCAGCCUGUAAUAAGCCCAAUCGCUGACUUAAUAAUGAUUUUACAAAUAUUUUUAAAAGGGGUUUAAAACGUUAAUAAUGAUUUUACAAGGAUUUUUAAAAGGAUUAGUACCUGAGCAGUAGGAAAAGAAUGAGAAACAAAAGGAUUUGAAGUCGUCUCAACCUAUAAUUAACACAAUCACUGACUUACUAAAUCUAUAUAUAAACCAUUUUUAAAAUUAUAACACAAGAAAGUUAUUGAAAAACCUACUCCACUGUCACAGAAAUUUGCUCUACUCUGUGAGAAUUUGUGCAUAAAAGUUGCAAGUUGUCUAUCGUUUCUAAUAUAAAGAGGAUGAGAUUGUAUUGUUCUAGAAGUGGAGACUUGCUUAUAACUAAGCUUCAAAGAAUUGGUUGAACUAUCUAUUCGAAAAUUCUCUACAAGAAUAUCAACCAAUGCGUGAUAGGUAAUGUGCUCAUCAAUGAGCACUAAAGAAGCUCCCAUUUCAAUGUCUAAUUCAAAUUCCCAAGUCAUAUUGUUUGUCAACUUCCACAAACCACAAACAGAAUACUAUUCUAUCAUUAUAACCUGAUAAGAUAAAUAACAACAAAAUCAAUACCCACAAACAUUGUCACUACAGAGAGAAGCAUGGUUUACAAUUAUUUUUAAAGCAUAAGUAAGUGGCAUAUAAUGAUUUACAAGGAAUUUUAAAAGCUUUGAAAAUGGGUUAACAUGAUUUACAAUCAUUUUUAAAGCAUAAGUAAGUGGCAUAGAAUGAUUUACAAGGAAUUUUAAAAGCUUUGAAAAGGGGUUAACAUGGUUUACAAUCGUUUUUAAAGCAUAAGUAAGUGGCAUAUAAUGAUUUACAAGGAAUUUUAAAAGCUUUGAAAAGUGGUUAACAUGGUUUACAAUCGUUUUAAAGCAUAAGUAAAUGGCAUAGACCUAUCACGAAAGCGUAAGUAAAGGGGUAAACACUAAAUCAAAACCAAAAUUUAUCACGGAACAAUAUAACGAAUUCAAAUCUAUCACAAAACAGUAUAACGAAUUCAAAAGGAAUUAACGAAUUCACAUAAUCAACCCCAAAAUCGAAAGCAAAAUAGUAGAAUUUACAAGGAUUUUAAAAACAAUUCAAUCAUUAAAUCUCAAACAAAAUUCAAAUUCGAAGCAUCAACAAAUGUCAAAUUGUCGAUUGAAUCAAUAUCACGAAUCACAUAAGCAACAACAAAAUCGAAAACGAGACAUUUAGGCUAAAAUUACAAAUUCGAAAUCGAUUCCAUGAGAGAAAAACAA